UUUUUUUUUUUUUCUUAAUCGCUUACUGCGAGAUGGGAGAUUCACUCAGCAUCAUAAUAAACAUUUAGUACUACUGAAAAAUGGUGGGUUUUCUCAUAACCUUUUUAAAUGGAUUUAGAUGGAUUAUCCCUCAAAACUGAUGAGCCAAUUGGUUUUACUUGAAUGUCCGUUAAUAUCAGAGGUGAAGCCAAGACCCCACAGUAAGUGGGGUCAAAUUUUAGUACAGUAAACCCUUUUUUUUUGGCAGCACAUUAAACUUUUACAAAGCAAAUAUCAAAAUUAUAUAUAUAUAUCUAUAUAUAAAGCAAGUUUCAUUAAUAUAUUGUAGAAAAUUGUCCUGCAUAAUUUGAUUUACAUCUCCGUUUUAAUGGUAAGUUAAACAUGCACUAAAAAUAAUAGAUCUUCAAAACGUUCAUAAUUGUAUCUUAAAAGUACUCAUCUUCUAAAAAUGUUGCAAAAUCAAUGCAUUAUCAAUUUUGUUAAAACAAUUUUUUCAAUGUAAGUAAUUGAAACUUUUAAAUAAUCUACGAACUACCAUCAACUUGAUUUUUACGAGUUUCUUUUAAGAAAUUUUUCUAUAGCUUAUUAUGAAUGAAUUGUAUUAUAAAUAAAAGUUUAGCAUCCAUUUCAAAAAUUCUUGUUUUUGGAAACUUUGAAGUUUGAAAGAAUUAGUUUUUCCACUCCAAUCAAGAAAGGUCAUCCCUUGUUUUUAAAAACUUUAGAAGAAUUUAUUCUUGAAAUAACUUUCAUAAAUAACUUGAAACAAAUUCAAAAUUUUUGUGAUGGCAAAAUUUAUGAAUUUUCAAUUAUUUAGGGUCAAUAUAUAUAGAAAAGAAAAUUUGUUAAAAUUUAGUGGGUCAAAUGAGACGCAACUUUAAAAUUUUCUAAAUUUCCUAAGCCUAAAAGCUAACUUUUUCAAAGUUAAGUGGGUCAAUUGACCCCACUUACUUCCAUGUGGCUCCACCACUGGUUAAUAUCCAUCUAAAUUUGUUUAAUAAUCCAAAACAUUUAAGUGAGGUGGAUAUGUAUGAGUAAAUGGAUAUGAAUUGAAAAUGUCACUUCUAAAUUAAACUAGUUUAUAUUUGAAGGGAGUUUGAUUUAGUAAAGGCUUGUUCAAAUUUGGUUCGCCAACUAAUCAAUCCAAAUUUGAAUAGUAUUUUAUGCUUGAUAAUGCUCAAAUUUGAUAAAAAUCUCAUUCAAAUUCAGUUCGGCAACUAAACAAGCUAAUUUGAAAAAUUUUAAAUUCGUUAAAAUAAUCAAACAAUUUUUAACAUUAAGGUGUUCAAUUUGAUUAGACUCGUUUACAUUCCUAAUCAAAAGAAAAAAAAUUUUAUAGUACCGGAUAAAAAAGUCUACGCAUGAUGUUCCACGGAAAAGAACAAGGAUUGUAUACUCCCAAGUCAUAUAAAUUUUGUCAUCUUGUUGAAUAAACCAGAAAUAUUUGACUGUAAACAGAUUACUUACGUAUGAUAAUUGUUUUGAUCUGUAAACAUCACCAACAGCGUAUGGAGAAAAUAUGGACUACAGGGGACAUGAUCCGAGAAUGAUGAUCGUGGGCAUGCAAUCUCUGAAUAUUCAAAUGUCAAAAAGCACUUACUGAAGUAAUGCAGUCUUAGAAAUUAUGCUAAAUAUUAUUGGGAAAAUGGCCAAUUUAGUCCUUCAACUUUUUAACUUAAGGCGAUUUGAUCCUUCCUCUUUUAUUUAGGUAAUUUUAGUCCUUUAACUAAAAUUAGUAACCAAUUUCAUCCUUUUGCAGUGUUGCCGCCAGUAAAACUCUUUUCGGCACAAAAGUCACCAUCAAUUAAGGGCAAUAUAGGAAUUACGAAAUAGGGAUCAUUUUUAAAACAAUGAAUGCAAAAUAUUUUUUGUUACAUUGGGGAGAAAACCAAUUCUCCAUUAAUUUGGGGAGUAAAACAAAAGGUGCAAUAAACCAAAUUGUUCUUCUUCUCCACCUCUGGCUGAUGCUGAAGCCCCACAAAACUGCAAAAGCUAGCCCACCAGUGGAAUUCCAAACCCAAAUCCCCAAAACCUGACUCAAAACUGCUAAUUCAUUUUAUUUUUUGGAACCCCAAUACAAACUCACUCGUCAAGUCUCAUUUCCCUAGCAAAAUCUACUACUGGCAUCAGAGUUAAAUUGUCGAUAGGGGCUAUGCAGCAGGAGGGGAUGGAUAAGGAUGUAAAGAGGUUGAAGAAAAAGUCUGAAUUGUAAGCCUAAAGUUCAAAGUGAAAAUGCAAUUUAAAAUCAUGAUUUAAGGAAGUUAUUUUCGAAGCUUUGAUGCAACGAUCAUGAGGUAGCUAUCGACAAGGGAAUGCUUAGAAAACAGCUAAUCCAUUUGCUACUUUGAAUACUUUUCUUGAGUUUAUCAAGAAAAAUUUAUAUGUUGAUAAGUCUUAAUUGUAAACUAAAAUUACAAGACACAUGAUGAUGUACAAAAACAAUGUUAAUGAAGGUUUCAUUUUAAGAAGAAAAAAAAAGACAUAUUGUAGACAAAGAAAAUUUAUUUAAUUUAUUUAGUCGAGAUUUAUUAAAUUGAUCUUGAUUAAAUUAAAUUAAAUUAUAGAAGUCCAUUAUGUUUUGGACCGGUAAAUUGGGCCAAUAUUAUAUGGGCUAUUAAAUCAAAUUAAAUUCAUAGUGUCCAUUUAAGUUAGAGUGAAUUAAUUGAUUUAUUAAUUCACAAUGGACUAUUUGGGUUGGCCCAUUAUUUAAGCCCAAGUUAAAUGGAUUUCUUGAGUAACAAGUGAUCCAAAAUGCAGGAAGAUUCUGAGGGUUUUCUUGAAGACCUAGCCUACAUAUUUUGGCUAUAAAUAGAGGUCUUCCCUCAAGGCAAAGAUAGAGAAAAAAAUCCCUAACAUUCGGAGAAACUCUGUCAAAUUCCCUCAAGAGCUUUCUUCCUCAAAUCCAAAUCCAAAUCAAGUCAAACAAAUCCUCCUGCUAUCGGUGUUGAAGACUCGAAGUUCCAAGUGCUUGACGCCAUCAUCAAAUCAAUUGUUUUCUACGCCGAAAUUGUAGGAAACACCCUUUCGAUUGGAGAACAAGUCUUUUCGCCCCUUCAAUUGAAGCUAUUCGAAGAAAAGAAUCAGGGGAUUAAUUUCUUUGAUUCAAGAACUUUCAGAGAUUGUAACCCGCUUAUUAUUUGAUUUAAUAAAUUUGAUAUUUGUGCAAGUUUUCUUGUCUUUUAUUUCAGGCAACAAAAUUUGUGCUUACAAAUUUCUGGCACGCCCAGUGGGACAAUCUCUGCCUCUCAUCUCUUUUCUUCCAACAACUUACCAGUUUCAAAAUUCGAUGGAGUUCAAGAAGGUGAACUUUUCUCUUGAAGGCUUAGUUGCUGAUGUCUCAACCACUCAAGGGACGCAGUAUACUGCACCUCUGACAAGGAGUAAGGCCAAGGAGUUAGCAGAGAAGGCUAAGGCGAACGUUGUGACUGAAGAAGCAAAUCUCGAAAUGCUUCCUAACAAGAAAGGAGCCCAUGAUGAAUCCAUUGGUAGCCCAAGUGAUUCGGCUGCCUCUGUGGUGAUGCCCGUCAUGAUGACCAAUACCACAACUGUGGAAGACCAGAUCUCGAAUCUAGCCAAAAUUGUCGAAGGGCUAGUAGUGCAUGCACAAAGUCAGGAUGCCAAGAUAGUCAAAUUAAUGGAUAUGGUGGAAAAUAUAGGCGAAAAUAGCCUUAGCAUGUCCAAACAGAAAUUCAAAGUGCAAGAUGAAGGGGACUCGUCAUCAAGGGAGAAGGAGAAAGAGGAUGCGAAGUCACAAGCCGCGAAGGAAUUUUCAAUCUCCCCUGAUGGCACCAUUCAUGUUGACAAUCUGAAGGAAUUUAUCGAAGGUACAAUCAAGGAUAAGAUGGGCGGAAGCGCCAAGCCAUACAGCGGUUACACCAAACCUUACACCGCUAGAGUGGAAAGUUUGAAAAUGCCUGUGGGGUAUCAACCUCCAAAAUUUCAACAAUUUGAUGGUAAGGGCAAUCCUAAGCAACAUGUAGCACACUUCGUGGAAACUUGUAACAAUGCGGGCACUGAUGGUGACUUGCUCGUUAAACAGUUUGUUCGCUCGCUGAAGGGUAAUGCUUUUGAUUGGUACACGGAUCUUGAGUCUGGAACCAUUGACAGUUGGGAGCAGUUAGAGCAUGAAUUCCUUAGUCGCUUCUAUAGCACAAAGAGAACUGUCAGCAUGACUGAACUCUCUAAUACACGUCAAUGGAAGAGUGAACCUGUCAUUGAUUUUAUCGACCGUUGGAGGAAUCUAAGCUUAAAUUGCAAAGAUCGAAUUUCUGAAUCUUCCGCGAUCGAGAUGUGCAUUCAAGGUAUGCACUGGGGACUCAGAUACAUCUUACAAGGUGUACAACCAGGAACAUUUGAUGAACUGUCCACAAAAGCCCAUAAGUUGGAGAUUAAUCUUGAUGGACAAGAACCGCCAGUUCCUGACCCUUACAAGGCCAAAGAGAGACAAGAAGCGAGGAAAGGGGGCAAGCCACCAUUUAAAAAUGAAAAAAAGGAGGCUAUGGCUACAAGUGUAACGCCCUUUAAGGUUGUUCCCAAAACUGCCAGGAGAGAAGAUAGCAAGAUCAAUGCACAUCAAGAACAAGGAAAGAGGAAACCAACUCUCAAGGAGAUGCAGGAUAAGGAGUACCCUUUCCUUGAUUCUGAUGUCCCUGGUAUGUUCGACGAUCUGUUAGGUAUAAACUUGAUCACGCUUCCUGAGAUGAAGCGACCUGAUGAGGCCAGGGACACUGACGAUCCAAAUUACUGUAAGUAUCACCGAUUGGUCGGGCAUCCCAUUCAAAAAUGCUUUGUCUUCAAAGACAAAGUAAUGGAGUUGGCAAGACAGGGAAAAAUUCUCCUUGAAGAAGACAAGGCGAGUGUGAAUCAAACGUCCAUUGGUUCCCUGCAGUCCGUGGAGGAUAAAAGGGUCAUGGUGCCUGUAUUGCCAAUAAUUCAAUUUGGAUCACUUGAUCCUAUAGAAAUCAAACAAGAAGGUGCUCCUUCAACUCUUCAGGAACAUGUAUAUGAAGAUGAAAAGGCGCUACAGUCUGAUGUGGAUGAUGAAGGAUGGACUCUAGUCACGCAAAAAAGGAGGCGGAAGUCUUGUCCAUCUAGUAGGGCGAGCAAGGUCUUAACAAGAAGUAUGGUGAUUUGGAAGGGGAAAGAGAAUGACGUAAAGAAAACUAAUGAUUAUCAUAAUCUUCAAGGAGGCCGAAUCUUCAAGCAAAAGUCGCGAACUCCUAUUACUUUAAAAGAGUUUUUGCCAAAGGAAUUCUUUGAUGUUGAUGUGGUCGCAAGUCACACAACGCAAGUAGAUCAUAUCGAGGAACAAAAAGAUAAUACUUGCGAAUCUCUCUGUGAGAUGGCCCGUGCGCCCACCGGCAAUGAAGAAGGUCGUGUGUCUACCAGCAAUGAAGAGGUGAACGUCACAAGUAUCACUUUUACUAGUGAAGACUUGUUGCUUGGGUCAACGCCGCAUAACCGUCCUUUGUUUGUGACUGGUUAUGCAAAAGAGCAAAAAGUGAAUAGAAUGUUGAUAGAUGGAGGUUCCGCAGUCAAUAUUCUCCCUUUAAAAACUCUGAAGGAGCUUGGUAUCCCGGUUGAUGAACUCUCCAAUAGCCGACUGAUGAUUCAAGGCUUCAAUCAAGGAGGGCAAAGAGCUCUUGGGUCACUAAAUUUGGAGAUAAUCAUUGAUGACAUGACGUCCAGAGCACUAUUGUAUGUGAUAGAUGCUAAAACAACAUACAAUGUAUUGUUGGGAAGGCCCUGGAUUCAUGAAAAUGGAGUUGUACCUUCAACUCUUCAUCAAUGCUUCAAGUAUUGUCAAAACGGGGUGGCAAGAAGUGUGAAAGCUGAUGAUAAUCCUUUCACUGAGGCGGAAGCAUAUAUCGCCGAUGCCAAAUUUUACAUCAAAAGGCACAUUGCGAAGGAUAAAACUGAACAACCUCUAUCUGGGGAUAAAAUUCAGAACCCCGAAUCUCCAAAUGCAAAAGGGGAGAAAGUGAUGACUUCGAAAUCAAAAGAGGAAGUUCAUGAAGAAACUGAUGUUUCAUUGCCAAACAAUGAAUCAGUUGUCUUUCGCUGCCCUCCCAAAUCAAGAAUGGAACAGGGACAGUCACCUGCAAUUCAGCAUGAAACUCUAAAAGAUUUGACUCUUCCGGUAGCUCAUCUUGAUACAAAAAAGGCGUCAUCUUCUCAACUUAAAAGGUCUAACUUUUUAACCAAAGAAUCUGAAGUUGAACAAGAGACCAUACCAAAGUCAAGAACUAAAGAAGGUUUUGAUCCUAUCGCUUAUAAGCUUCUCGCUAAGGCUGGAUACGAUCUCAAAGAAUCUGCGGUGUUAAAUGUUCCAUCCCGUCAAUCUACCAGUGACAUGAUUCAUGGGUUGAAUCCUACCCAAAAGAUGUUGAAGGAAAAAGGAUACGCCGUUGAAAAUCCCAAAUUUGGCCUUGGCUACUCCUCUCCUACACCAAUCCGCAUCAAGAUCAAUAGAGUUAGUAGCCAAUAUAUUGCUAUAGAGGAUGAGUCUUCUCAAAUAGUUGGUAAAUCUCAAGCUUUUCACGAAAAGGAAAAUAAAAUUUCACGGGUAUCUGUUUUUAAGAGAUUAGGACCACAAAAAAGAUAAAAAUCUCAAAACUCUCAUAAGAGUAAAGGAAAAAUGGCAAAGUCAUUGCAAAGUCUUGAAGAACCUUCUGAUUGUCCUCAUAAAUUUGGCAGUAUCAUUCCUUCGAGAAUGAGAAGAUGCACAGACCUUGUAAUAAAGUGUGGGACUGAAUUGAGGGUCAGGGAGUAUACCGUGGUGUACACAAGACCAAAAGAGGAUGAUGAAGAGAGUGUUGCUUCAUGCAACCAUAUAACCAUAAUUGACGGUGACUCGCCUGAAGAAGAAGAAGAUGCUGAAGACGCUCCACCUGAAUUGGAGGAAGGUGUUAAGGCUACUGUGGAUGAUCUAAAGGAGAUCAAUCUUGGUACUUCAGAGGACCCGCGUCCAAUAUACAUAAGUGCUUCACUGAGUCCUGACGAAGAGAAGGCAUAUGUUGAACUCUUGCGGGAGUAUCAAGAUGUUUUUGCAUGGACUUAUAAAGAAAUGCCGGGUUUAAAUCCAAAAGUGGCCGUCCACCAUUUGGCUGUUAAAAAGGGAGUUCGACCUGUGAAACAAGCACAACGGCGAUUUAGACCUGAUUUGAUUCCGUUGAUCGAAAUGGAAGUCAAUAAACUCAUUGAAACCGGGUUUAUUCGUGAAGUUAAAUAUCCCACAUGGAUUUCGAGUAUCGUGCCUGUGCGAAAGAAAAAUGGACAAAUCCGCAUCUGUGUCGAUUUCAGGGAUGUUAACAAUGCUUGUCCCAAAGAUGACUUUCCUUUACCGAUCACUGAACUCAUGAUUGAUGCAACUACUGGGCAUGAAGUUCUGUCAUUUAUGGAUGGCUCUUCUGGAUAUAAUCAAAUUCGAUUGGCACCGGAGGAUGAGGAGCUCACUGCAUUUCGUACUCCUAAGGGUAUUUAUUGUUAUAAAGUGAUGCCCUUUGGUCUCAAAAAUGCGGGUGCCACAUAUCAAAGAGCAAUGCAAAGUAUCUUUGACGACAUGCUUCAUAAGAAUAUCGAGUGUUAUGUGGAUGAUUUAGUUAUAAAAUCAAAGAAAAGAAGUAAUCACUUGGAGGACUUGAGACAAGUAUUUGAUCGAUUGAGAAGGUAUCAACUCAAAAUGAACCCUCUCAAGUGUGCAUUUGGAGUCACGUCGGGGAAAUUUCUUGGUUUUGUGGUUCGCCAUCGAGGUAUUGAAAUUGAUCAGGCCAAAAUUGAUGCUAUAUUGAGGAUGCCUGAACCUCGUGACAUUCAUGAAUUGAAAAGUCUUCAAGGGCGAUUAGCUUAUCUGCGGAGAUUUAUCUCAAAUUUAGCAGGAAGGUGUCAGCCAUUUAGUCGCUUGAUGAAGAAAGAUGUGCCAUUUCAAUGGGAUGAGACAUGUAGUAAUGCAUUCAAUAGCAUUAAGUCUUAUCUUAUGAAAGCACCUGUGUUGGCUGCACCUAUUCAUGGAAAGCCCUUACUCCUUUAUAUUGCUGCCCAAGAACGAUCGAUGGGGGCAUUGCUCGCUCAAGAAAAUAAUGAAGGAAAGGAGGUUGCCCUUUAUUAUUUAAGCAGAAUGAUGACCCCCAACGAACUAAAUUACUCGCCAAUUGAAAAGUUGUGCUUAGCCCUUAUUUUUGCAAUACAGAAGUUAAAGCACUACUUUCAAGCGCAUAGUGUGAGGCUCAUUUCCAGGGCGAAUCCCAUAAAAUAUGUGAUGAGUAGACCAGUGUUGUCCGACCGUCUAGCUAGAUGGUAUCUUCAACUACAACAGUUUGAAAUUAUUUAUGUGCCUCAAAAAGCUGUGAAGGGACAAGUUCUGGCAGAUUUUCUUGCUGAUCACCCGAUACCUGCUGAAUGGGAACUAAGUGAUGACUUACCGGAUGAGGAUGUACUCCUUAUCGAGAUUCGUCCACCAUGGAAGAUGUAUUUUGAUGGUGCGGCUCAUCGUCAUGGAGCUGGAGCAGGGAUUGUAUUCGUGACUCCUGAUGGAGGGAUAUUGCUAUAUUCCUUUACUCUAAGUCAUCAUUGUUCAAACAAUGUCGCUGAGUACCAAGCUCUCAUACUCGGACUUGAAAUAGCUGUUGAUAUGGAACAGUUGGACAUUCAAAUCUAUGGUGACUCUCAAUUAGUGGUUAACCAACUCUUGGGAAGUUAUGAAGUCAAAAAGUCCGAGUUAAUUCCGUAUCACAAAUAUGCAACGCAACUAAUGAGGCGGCUUGGAGGUGCAAGUAUUAAGCAUGUUCCUAGAAGGGAAAAUAAGCAAGCUGAUGCAUUAGCUGCGCUAGCCUCUUCACUUACCAUGCCGGAUCAUGAGAUACAAGUCCGUGUGUGCCGAAAGUGGGUAGUUCCAUCACUGAUUGAUGAUGAAAAUAUUGAAGGAGGCAACGCUCAUGUGGUCUCAACCUAUGAAAUUGACAAAGAAGAUUGGAGACAACCCCUCGUUGAUUAUCUCAAGUAUCAAAAAUUACCUGAGGAGCAACGUAGAAGAACUGACAUUCGUCGUCGAGCCCCUCGUUUUAUCUUGUACAAGGACACGCUGUACCGAAGAUCAUUUGAAGGUGUACUGUUGCGCUGUCUGAGCGAAGACGAGGCAUAUCAGGCGAUGCACGAGGCACAUUCUGGAAUAUGUGGAGCACAUCAAUCCGGUCCCAAGUUACAUUUUCGGAUUAAAAGGAUGGGCUACUAUUGGCCUACUAUGGUCAAAGAUUGCAUAGAAUAUGCUCAAAAAUGUCAAGCUUGCCAGUUUCAUGCAAAUUACAUUCAUCAACCACCCGAGCCGUUACACCCGACCGUUGCUUCUUGGCCUUUUGAUGCUUGGGGCCUUGAUGUUGUGGGGCCAUUACCAAAGUCGUCCGGUCAACACUUAUAUAUAUUGGCUGCGACCGACUACUUUUCUAAGUGGGCUGAAGCCAUACCGCUCAAACAAGUUAGAAAGGAAGAUGUGGUGAAUUUUAUUCGUGUGAAUAUUAUUUACCGUUAUGGAGUUCCCCGGUACAUUAUCACUGAUAAUGGAAAAUCCUUCUCCAAUGGCUUGAUGGAUAAGUUAUGUGAGAAAUUUAAUCUCAAGCAACGAAAGUCCUCCAUGUAUAAUGCCCCCGCCAAUGGUCUCGCAGAGGCAUUCAACAAAACUUUAUGUAACUUGUUGAAGAAAGUGGUGGCAAAGUCAAAGAAGGAUUGGCACGAAAGGAUAGGCGAAACUCUUUGGGCCUAUCGCACCACAUACCGAACUCCGACGCAAGCCACACCAUAUGCCUUGGUCUAUGGUGUAGAAGCUGUUCUGCCCCUUGAGCAACAAAUUCCUUCUUUGAGAAUUGCUAUCCAAGAAGGGCUCACGGAGGAAGAAAAUGUUCGCCUGCGCCUUGAAGAGUUGGAAGCUUUGGAUGAAAAGAGAUUGGAGGCCCAACAAAAUCUGGAGUGCUAUCAAGCCCGUCUCUCUAGAGCUUUUAAUAAGAAAGUUCGACGUCGCUCCUUUCAAGUCGGGGACAUGGUACUUGCCGUUCGAAGGCCAAUAGUUAUGACUCAUCGCACUAAAGACAAAUUCGUCUCUAAAUGGGAUGGGCCGUACAUUGUUCGAGAAGUCUACACGAAUGGUGCGUACAAAUUAGUGGACAAAGAUGGCGUGAAAGUUGGUCCUAUAAAUGGAAAAUUCGUGAAGUUAUACAUGCCAUAAAAAAAAAAAAGUGAACUACUCCACGACGCAUGAGUCUAAACUGCCUGUUGCUCCAGACCCGCAUGAGCUAAAACUGUGGAUAACAACCACCAAUAGUGUAGCACGUGGUUAAACUGCUGAAACACUCCACCAAAUCUAAGGUGGAAAACAAAUGGAUACUCCUGACCCGCAAGAGUUUAAACUGUGAAUGGUAGGAACUACGUGUGACUUGAUUCCCUGUUGGGAUACGUAGGCAGCUUAGAGGGCAACUUCUAAGUUCAGUUACAAUUAUAUAAAACUAAAUCCUUUGUCCGGAUGAUUCUUUUGAUAAAAAAAAAAAGGAGCGUUCAUCUUUAAGACAAUUCGAAUUAUUUUGUGACAUAUACUUGAAAGUGUAUUAUUCAGAUUACCAAAUUAUUUGGAUAAUUAUCUUUUCAAGUGUGAUCAAAAUUAUGCAAAGAUAGAAUUGUUCAUACUACAAUUGAUAGUCUAAAAUGGUGGCUAUCGAAAAAGCAAAUAAAGACGAGGACGUCUGCAAGAAUGUGAAAAAGAGAGAGCAAGUUUCAUUAUGAAAUGUUUAUGCACAUAGCUACACGCUUUGAGCAGGUAACAAAAGAUGAAAUUUGAAACAAAGUAAAAGAUUGCAACUAUUUCUAGAAUUCAAAUAACGACAGCUCCUUUUGGUUGCUUUCAAGUAACGCUUGCAUCUUGUCCAAAGUUUGACUCUCCUCAGCAAGUAGGGGCGGGGAAUUCUCGAUCUUUCGAACUUCAUUUUGUAAGUCGACCAUCACGCCUUGCACUCGGGUAAGAUCAUCUUGCUCUUCUCGUAGCAGUGAAAGCGUCUCCUUCCUGUGAGUAUCCAAGAACUCAAGUCGCUUCCUCAACUCUACUUCCUCGCGAUCAAUCUCCUUAAGCUUCAACAUGUGUGUUGAGAUCUUCUCUGCCUGUUGUCUCUCCUUACUCUGAGCGUCUCUAAGAUGUUGGGUAGCCGUAGAAAGCAACUCAUCAUAUGAUUCAGCUGGAAUUUUAUUUGAGAGAGAAGAUUUCACUGCAACGUAACGAGCUGCAUUUGCAAAGAAAGCCUUUAAAAGGCCUUGCAAAUUUGAGAUAUCCGCGGCAUUGAAGCUUUGCAUUUCCUCUAUGAUUUCGUUGGCUUUCAUUUCAAGUGCAGGCAUGCGCUCUAAGGCUGUUUGAGAUAUCAUCACCCUCAAGUUAUUCCACAACAUUUGGAUAUAGUCUCGACGGCAUGUUGAGAUCACAUUUUGGGGGCAAAAUUCAGAUACUCGAGGUGCCCUUGGCCACGAUGGUGGAUCGAAAAUUUUGAGUUUCUUUUGGGCCGAUGGAGUCAUAUGUUCCACCUUCUGUGGCGUGAUUUGCUGAAUCACAUUUCCAUCCUCUACUGCCUUUUUGGAAUUCUCACUAGCACCCAUUUGUUGGGUAGAACUGAUCACUUGUUUGGCCAAAAGUUCAAAUGCAGUAGGUCCUUCAACCGAUAUUUGACUUGGUUCUCCAUCAUCAAUGAAGAUCAAGUCUUGAUCAUCCAACUGUAAGGAAAACGUUAUGAGACAAAUCAUGAAUAUGAGAUUUAGUCUACAAGUAAAACAGAGCAAAAGCAUCCAAUCCAUAUUCUGUUGUGUAAGUUGUGGCAUUUUGUCAUGUUACAGUUUUUGUAUUUCCUCUGCCUGGCGAACUCAAAGAGAGGAGGUAACCUCUUAUUUCAAAUACUACUAGCACAAUCAGAACCUCAAACAUUGAAAUAACACACCUCUCAAACCUGUGAUGUCACUAGAUCCAGAAUGUGCCCGAAACAAGCAUCAAAUUUUGUAAAUGAGCAUUUGGAAAUAUGUUUCUUUAAAUUUUGAAUAACUUGCUUCAACUAGCAUUAUUUUCACUCGUCAAGGUUCAGAGUACUUAAACAGCAUUCAAUGUAUCUUGCAUUUCCUGGCACACCAAAAAGCACAAAGUUUAAUAACUAACAUACAUAAAAUCACGUAUGCAGCAAUAUGUCACACAAUCCCCAUUAACCGAUAAAGGAAGUUGCAACUUUCAAGUAAACAAUCCAAUGUGGGAACAUAGACACAACAUCCUAGUAAACAGUAAUUUGUCUAAACUAAUCUAAUAAUCAAUGAUAAGCUUCUUUAAUCAGCUACCACGGUUAACAUGCAAAAUGAUUCAAAUAAAAAGACUGACGAAGAAUUCAUUCGAAAGUCGCUCUUUAGAUAUAACUUUUGACAAAUGAUUUUCAGAAGUGCUUGUUCUAGUUUUGAACUUGUUGAUGUCAUGUUACCAGAUUCUGUAAGUACCUGAUUACUGGUUAUCACAAAUAAGGCCACCCUUCUUCAAGUCAUGACUAAAUAAAUAAAUGUGGGAUUAAAUUGAAUCCUUUGUCCACCCAGCCAAGGACAUUUUGUUAGUCUGACUUUAAUCUAUACAUGAAAGUCCAUGACUUACAAUACAACAUACAAAGUUAGUGAAGAUAUUAACAGAGCGGGAAGAAGACAGUACCCUAGCACCUGGAGCAGAGGGGGUGGCAAAUAGGACUGCACAAACAGCUCCUAGUGGGGCAAUAGUCAUUGAAAUUCCUUUUGGUGCCAAUAUUUGGUCAAUCUUUCCUAGUAUUGCCAUUGCAGCAAACGCCCCUGAUUUGUACAUAAAACUUCAACCAUUAGUCCUUUACCAACAUAUUACCAUCACUAGCUAAUCAAUGUAUAUCAAUAUCAGAAAAAGACAACAAAAAGAAGAUCAUAUCCUAGAACAUCCAAAAUACGCAUCAUACUUUCUAGCUACAAAAGCAGUCACAAUUGAACUUUCUUGAUAGAUAAAAACAAUAACUCAUUACACUACCAGGCCUUUUAAAGAACAAGAGAAAAAGUCUACUAUAAUAAUGCUUUUGUCUUGCAGGUGAUAGUAAAAUUGAACAAUUGAUUCUGUCAAUUUUUUUGUAGUGUGUAACCUGCAGAAGGCCAGAAAAUGUCGCUGAGGGAAGGAGCUUGAGUGCCCUUUUGAGGUGCCCAACUAUCCCAGAAUGGUGCAGGUACAUUGCUUGAUGAUGAUGAUGAUGAUGCUACAAUUCUGAGCUCCCCUUUUCUUCUUACACUUGUGAAUCUCUUUCCAUCAUGAGAAUGCAAUCCAAGUGAAGUUACAAGAUUGCAGAGUUUCGUUUGCUUCUUAUUGCUCUUGCAGCUAUAGAUGUUACUGCAAGAAUGUACUAUUAAUUGUGAAUUCAAUGGAGGUGCUGAUGAUGAAACUGGUGCUGGUGGCUUCAGAAGAUAAUUCUGCAACCCAUUUCGUUGAGUUUCUCUGCUGAUGUGAUGAUGUUGGCUGGCUGUUUCGAGGGAAGACUCUUCUGUUGCAGAAAUGGUCGGAGAAAGAAAGAGACCGUUUGGGAUGUUGAAACUCGAAAAGGGCCGCCUUGGGAUGAUCGAAAGGCCAUCGUUGGAUAAGAUGGGGUCCUGAAAUCCCCCCAAAAAAAAAAUCCAAAAUAUUGUGUGUAUAGAAGGAUAAUUUCAGAAACCACCCUUAAGGUUUCUCACAAUAUCAUAUAGCGCUUCUAAAGUUUUAAUAUCACUUGUCUUCCUUGUUUUUAAACUUUUGUGACAUUGUCAACCCGAUUCAAAAUAUAAUACUAUAACAUUCAGAUUUGGAGUAUAUAGAUUAUUUUAUUUCAAAAUUUCCCUUUUGUUAUGUUCUUUUAACUUUUAUGACAAACUAAUUUGAAAUUCCUCAACAUUUAAAAAUUUACCAAUUUACUUCUUUAAUGGAAAUUAUAUAGUUUUUUUAUUAGGGUUGGGAGAUCCUUUAAGAAAAUUUAUUUUAUAAUUUGGACAAAGGAUGUUAAAGCUUUACAACUUAUGAAUAAUUGACAAAACACAUAAAAAUCAUCUAUUAUACUAUAUAAAUGAAAUAACUUUUUUUUUUUGCAUCGUGAGUGCAUUUCCAAUUAAUGUUUUUUACCCAUUUCAAACAAUUUAUAAAUAAAAUUUUAAACACUUUUUCUUUUCUUUUUUUUUUUAAAAAAUAUUUCCAGGCCAUCGUUAUAGAUAAAAAAUGAUAAUGCUAAAUAAUUUAUAAAAUUUCUUAAAUUAACUCAAAAAUAGUUAUAUAAAAGGAAAAAAUUUCUUUAUUUGGUAACCUAAAAGACACCUAAUUAGCAUAUCAAAAAAGUAAAGGUGGAACCAACGUUAAAGUUUUAAAAUCAUAAUUAAUCCCCUAAAUUGCAACACUUUAGUAGAAUAAAUCUACCCUUCUGCUAAAAUGAUCGACCCCCUAUUGUAGCACCAAAUAAUUGAACCCUAAAGAAGACAAAAAUAAUUUUCUUUUCCUGGUUUGAAAACAUUUUAAAUGAAUGUUUCCGGAGAACAAAACACAUAGUAGAGAUUUAACAAGGGAAGGGGAGACGACUGAUGAGAGGGACGACGAGUGGGUAGGAUAAAAUCCGAUGCAUAUGAUAUAUGUAUACCCUUGUCUAAACAUAUAGUUUAUUUCACACUAUUAGCUAGUGUGGCCUUAUAGGUGGCAUGUUAUAGAGUAUUACAGAUCUGAAAAAUUAACAAAAAUUUUCACUAUGAAGAUCCAAAUAUAUUCAAAUAUUAAGUCGAACAUUGCAUCUCCAAGAACAUCAGUGAAUAUCUCCAAUAAACGUUCCAAAUACUUGACCCUUUUUCAGGAAUGAAAUCAGAUCUUAUGUGGUGCCUCCAAUCCUCAUUCUUGACAGCCUAUGGUUCCGGAGGAUCCUUAUACAAGUGGUGGCAAAUUGAAACAGCAAUCAUUCUUUCUUUCAUCAAAAAGCAUAAUAAGUUUAUUUAAGAUUCAACGUAAUCGUUAAGAAAUAAAACCGCCAUCAACAGCUAGGUUAGUCCCAGUAAUACAGGAAGACUCAUCUGAAGCAAGGAACAGAACAGCAUCAGCCACAUUUUUAGCCUUUACGUUCAUCCCUCUCAAAUUUGGAAGCUUGAAAACCUCUUCUAGUUCCUCGACAGUCAUGUUAAAGGCCCGACGAGCCGUCCGCGUCGCCACCACGUAAGGCGACACACAGUUCACCCUGAUUCCAUGCUCUCCGAGCUGCUUACUGGCGCAUCUCAUCAGCCCCAACACCGCAUGCUUAGACAUGCGAUAGUCAGUCCAAUUUUCAGCACCACGGGUUGCUGCAACGCUAGCCAUGCAUACUAUGCUGCCCUUGAUGCUCUGAUCUAUCAUCGCACGGGCUGCAUGUUUCAAGCAACUAGCCAUGCCACCAACAUUGACGGAGAAGAGAUUGUAGUACAUCCCGGAUAGAUCAAGGUCAAGAACUUUCUGAGCUGAUUGGCUGAAUAUCCCUCCGUUGCUGAACAUGAUGUCAAGGUGGCCAUGAGUCUUUAAAGUCAUUCAACCAUGGCUUGAACUUUGUCUUCGAUGGAAACAUCACAAUGGAUAUAGCUGCAUAGGUUUGAGCCAAUUGAUUCUGCAACUUUUUGGCCCUUCUCGUCCUCGAUAUCGCCAAUCACGAUUUUUUGCCCCAUGGGUGCAGAGAAGUCAUGUCGUUGCCUCCCUAUACCGCUUGCCCCACCGGUGAUUAUGGCUACUUUGCCUUCUAAUUUUUUCUUUUGUAGAGAGGGCUCUGCCAUUUUUGUUUUUGGGUGGAGGUUGGAAUUUAUUCUAGACCUUGAGAAGAUGGAGCAAGAAAGAUGCAACUAGCAUGACAGUGACUGCCUUUAUUUGCUAGCAGAACAAGUAGCCAAAUGGUAAAUGAUAUGCAAAAAAUGUAAUUGGUCUUGAUCAUUGCGGUUGCAACCAGCUUUUAAUAUGCGCAGUGCCAACUUGUGGGAUAACUCUUUAAGGUAUAGUGGCAUAUUUUGUAAACUCCAAGAGGAUGAAUUAUAUGGCAGACCGUUAGUAAUGGUUCUUUCCAGAAACGGCAAGAAACGAAAAAGUCAAGUGGCCCUACGAGCUAUCCAAAAUAAGCUAAACAAUAUCACAAAGUACAAAAACAAGAACAUGCUUUUGAUCAGGAUCCCAUCCUAUCCUAUCUUAUCCCAUCCAUCCUUCCAAGAAUCCAAUCAUUGAUUCACUUCCUAAAGGAAUCUUUCAACCAUUUUUAGCGUUUUAAACUCGAAUUGAGAAGCGAAGCAGUCUGAUUAACGGGUAAAGAGCAAAACCAUGUAAUAGUGAACCAAUUAUUGGAAAAUCAGAUGACUCAGAUGAAUCGGCAGUAGUCAUAAAUUUCGGCAUAGAUAAAGGGAAACACUGAGACACAUGCAAGUAUAUACGAGUAUCUAACGCUACCCAGAUAGCAUAUACCGUGCAUAACAAUGACUCAUGAAUGCAAAUAACCCUUAGUAAGCUCUGGUUCGUUUGGAUUAGUUGUUUUUGGGAUAUUUUUGAAAUAAUUUAUUGUAACAAUACAUAUGAAAAACUUUUACUGUAAAUAUUUUUGAUGAUGUUUUUGGGAUAUAUUUUGAAGUAUUUUUAAAAUUUAAAAUUUUAGAAUAUUUUUUUAAAAAUUAAUACUACCAUCUAUCAUCACCACUGAUCACUGCCACCACCCCUUCGUCUUCUUCUUCCUCGCUCUCUUUCUUCCUCCUCCUCUCUCUUUCCCCUCCUUCCCUCCCUUUUUCCACCACACCCCACCUCUCCCCUCCUCUAAUACAUGGCCUCGAUGGGUGUGGUAGGAAAGGGGAGGGGAAGGGGAAGAGAGGAGGGGAGGAGGAAAGGGGAGGAGAGGAAAGAGGAAGAGGAGGAAGAGGGAGGGAGAAGAAAGAGGGGGAAGAAGGGGAUGGUGGAUGGUGGUGAUAGAUGAAAAAAGAAGAUGGUGUAAAUUUUGUGUAUACUUUUUAAUUUUUUUGUAUAUGUUGCACCCCUUUUUGAAAAUAAAAUAAAUGAUGUUAAAAAAUGAGUUUUUGAUUUUAGAAAAUAAAGAAAAAGAGUCUAAAAUGGGAUUUAAAAUAUCCGACGGUUUAGGACCAAAAUAACAGUCUAAAAGGGAUUUUUAAGAAAAAAUAGGAGUCGCCACUUAUUGAGUUUAGGUGUACCAAAUCACUUAAAAAUUUUUAAAUAAAUAAAUAAUAAAUAAAACCCUUUUUAGACUACUCCAAAUCUUUGAAAACAAGAGAAAAGAGUUCGAGAGUCACAGUUGAAGAAGGAAAGACAAAGAUUUGAUAAGUUCGAACCUAAGGCAAUCUAGCCAAGGUUAGUUGCGUGAUUUAGUCGAAAAUUUUCCUAAUCUAACUUAUAAAUUUUAUCACAUUAGAAUUCUUCUAUAUGGAUGCGUAUCUAGACUUAGAGGUCACGAAUAUGCAAAAGAUGAGACUCAAAAGAGGAAAUUAUAAUAUAGAUAAAUAUACAUGACUUAAAAGAGGGAAAUGCAACAUAACGGGUGCGGAAAACUAAGAUUCAUGAUUCAAUUUUUCUUUUAUAAAGGGGAUGAGAGCGUGCUAAGGCUAAAAAAUCAUACUCGUUCAUUUCCCAUAUUUGAAGGAUGACUAAUUUAACUUAUGCAAACAAAUGGAUUAACCUACUUCUAGUUUCCUAAAAUGAGAUGCAAUUCUAAAUGAUAUGGUCCAAUCACAUAGAGGGUAAGAGAAUAAUAGUAGGGGAAAUAUCAUGCAAAUGAAAUUAAUCUAAAAAUAAAAAUGCAUGAAAUGUAAUAAAUGUCACACAAGGUAUGAAUUUAGCACAAAAAACGGCCUAAAGAGUCUAGUACUGGACUAACUCAUUUCUACAAGUCCUCUUUAGUAUUGGAAUAUUGAGAAAUCGGAAAGAAAGAACAAAAUUAGCAUUGGAAUAGUGUGGUGACAUCAUGUAUUUAUUAUAAGUAAAUAAAGCAUAUAAAGUAUAAUUAAAGCAAAUAAACACAUAAAGCACAUAUAUCACAUAACACAUAGGCAUAAUGUCUAAAUGCAAAAUCCUAAAGAAAGCAAAAAAAAAAAAACACACAUUAGUACACAAGCACACAAGCAUGCAAACAAAUAAGCAAAUGAAACCUAACUAUUACAUUAAGGACUCUAACCACAAUUUAGAAGGGGAAUUUUUGGAAAUAAUAAACCUAUCUAUUACAUUUAUCUAACUAAUUACAUUUUUGAUAAAUAUAAAAUCUACCUAUUACAUAGCCUAACUAAAUACAUUUUUUGGGCAACUAUCUAUUACAAUUUGACAUUUAAAUGCUUCCCAAAUAAUCAUCAAAAUUAAAUAGAACAAAUAAAAAUUUAAAAUGAAUAAAAUGAGUAAAUAAAAGAAAAAGCACUCAAAACAUGCAAUCACACAUAAAAAAACACAUAGGAGCACAUAAAAGAAUUUAAAAUAAUAAUAGAAGGUACCUCCCUUGAAGUAGUAGUUAAAUAAGGUGGAACUUGCCCUAUUUAUAUUUCAAAAUCAACAAAAUAGUCAAGACACCAAUUUAAUUAACAAUUAAAAAGAAAAUGUAAACAUGUAUCAAAUUCACUUUUACUAUAAUAAGAAAAUAUGAACAAACAUAGAAUCCCUAAAAUUUACAAAUUAAAUGCAUUUAAAUGAAACAUGAUUAACAAUUAAAGGAGAUAAACAAAUUAUACUUAAGAAAUCAAAGCUAUUAGGGACCUAAUUAUAAUAAUUAAAAAGUUUUUAGGAUCAAAUUAAAAUUAUUAUGAAGAUUAGAGGUCAAAAUUAAUCAAAGAUAAAAUUUAGGGACCAAAUUGAAAUUAAAUUAAGAACCUAAUUGAAAGAAAUCCAAAGUUUCAGGGUCACAAUAGAAUUAUGCAAAAGAAAAGGGACCUAAUUGUAAAUACGUUUCUGGUUUGUUAAGCAACAAGGUCACUGGGCCAUUUCUGAUUAUUUUCGUGAGCCAAACUUGCCUUUGGCCCAAUGGAGAACCCAUAAAAAGAAGGGGCUAGCCCGUUUCUGAUUAAGCAAAAUCAACCAAAAAGGGUUGGGCUUUAACUACCAAAGCCCAUGUCUUUACCCAAAGAAAAUGAAGGCAAAUCCACUCUCCAAAACGCAACAAAUAACCCUAGCCCAACUAUUAAAUUGUUUUCCUAAACCCAGAGAGAGAACAUGUCCUUUUAGGAAAAUAAAUUCAACAAAAUUAUUUAGGCCUUAAUCCCACCCUAAAACCCAGAAAUAAUUUACUCAAAACAUUACAUAAAAUGUGCAACAAAGUCAAGGCUUGAAAAGUAGGGAUGACAAUGGGCCGGUCACCUGCCCCUCGGGGGACUGUCGAGGCGGUGGUUGGGGCGGGGGCGGGUAAUUUUAUUCCCCCGUUUAGAAACGGGGCGGGGGACGGGGAUACAUUCCCCACCCCAACCCCGCCCUGUUCCCCGCAAAAAAUAUACAUACAUAUUAUAUAUACACACACACACAAAUAACAAAAGAACAAACGAAGAAACGAACCUCCAUACUUCUCACACCCUCUCUGCACAUAAUAACAAACCAUGACCAGAGUUUGAGUCUUCCCCGCAGACUUCUCAUCAUCAUCAACAACUAGUGCAUAAUUUAAACUAGGCCACUAGCUACUUUGCCAACAUGAGUAAAAUUGUCAGCGUCUACCAAAUCAUCAGCAACAUUGAAAUGCAAACUAGGCUCACCGCAACUUUGUUGAUAUUUCUGCUUCAAUCGUUGUUGAUUACCAGCACCAAAUCUUCUAGAACAUCCAGAUGCUGGGCUCUUCAGAUUUGCCCUCAAAUCAGAAGAAAGUUUCGACUUUUGGGAAGAAGUUUUUGAAGCGGGCCUUCUAGCGGAUUGCCACUGGGAGAGGAAAGAAGGGCUCUUUCUAAAACUUUGUGAAGACGAUUUUUUGGGCACAUCAUUUUCGUUAGCAAUUGAUUUAUUAGAUCUAGGCCUGGCGGAAUUAGGAGUUGAUUUUGGGGCUGACUUGGCAACAAGGGGUUUAUUUCUGAGUUUGAAAUUGGGAUCCUUCUAAAGAUGGGAACUCGAAGAAGAAGAAGAGGAGCGAGGUCUUGAGUUUGACGUAGAGGAAAGCAGAAACUUGAGGCAACGGGGGACAGUGGGGAAACGGGGCGGGGGCGGAGCGGGGGGUGGGGGCAAGGUCCCCUCCCCACCCCCGUCCCAUUGCCAUCCCUGUUGAAAAGGGAAAAUUUGAUCCAUUUUUCACAAACCUUUGGGCCUUAGUAUAAUUAUGUAAAAGUCAGGAGGUAAAAGUGCAAUUUCCAAUUUUCUCCAUGCAAGCUGUUCGAAGCUUUUCUGCAAAUCUGGAAGCUUAUCAAACCCAAAAACCCUACCAAAAUAAUUUAACAAAUUUCGGAUCUAAACACGUGAGGCUAUGCAAUCUCAAACAUUAACACAAGAUUUCUAGUUCCAAACACAAGCACAUGAUCAUGCAUCAUGAACCAAGAGAGCAAGAUUUCUGAACUUUUACUUGCAAAUGAGUUGGAGCAAAGAGAGAAAAGUGAAUGAGGGUUACCUCUGAGGCUUAUAGAAGUCGAAAACAGCAGUGUAAAUUUCCAAGAAACGUGCAAACUUCACCCAAAGAGCAAAAACCAGGUUGCCACAGUUGUGCUAAGAGCUGUAAGGCGAGGACAUUGGAGCUCGAAUUCAAGGAAUUUAGGGAUGUUUUUUUGGGACGGUUUCAAGACAAAAGUUUCUCCUCUAACACUGUAUAUAUUUCAGAAAAAAUAAUAUCCUCAAAAUGAGGUCGGGAUUUGUGGAAAUAGGGUGACGAACAGGAUUGGUUCGUCAACCCUGGCUCAAUUUUCUGCCCAAAAAAAAAUUUGAGGAGCCCAGUUCGGGCUUCGAUUUGAGGGGAUUAUGGUGAUUAUCUGGGCAAAGUUUCACACAAAAUUCUUUCUCUCUAUCCCUAGAAGGUGCAGAAAAAAUAAAUACUCUAAAAAGAGGUAAAAUGAAAGAGAAAGUCAGGUUGGAAUGGAGCUGGUUCACCAGCUCAUUUUUCCAGAUUUUUGCAGAAGAACUCUUCCUUUUUCUCCUCUGUUUUCCUUUCUUUCUUUUCUCUUCUUCCGCCGUUUUUCCCAUAACCCUCCUUGCCCUAAAGCUGUGUUUUGUUCCUAUUUAAAUGAAACAAAAGCUCCUAAAAUCCUCCUCUCAAUGGUUGAGAUGAGGUGGGUUUCGUUGGCUCAUUUUGAGCCAUUUGAUGAUCCAUCUUCCAGAAAUUUCUUGAUACUUCUUGAUGAGUGAGGUGCAUUGUACUGAUAAUGCUUAGGAAAUAAAGAAAAGGCAGAAAAAUCGAACCAAAAUUUGUUCCAAAAAUGCCAGCUGCAUCUUCGUACUUGCAUGCUGGUUUUGUUGGCUUGAAGAAAAUUGCGCGCGCCUGUAGCCAAAAAAUUUUUUUUAAUAGAAAAACGGCCUUUUCUUCUUUCUUUUUCUUUUUUCUUCUUCUUUUCUUCUCUUUUUUUUUUGCUGUUUUUCUUGAUCCCCUUUAUCUUCUUUCUUUGAUUUUCCUACAAAAUCAAUCAAAUAAAAAUCAAAUGAGAUAAAAAUGAUUUUUCUUAGAAAAAUAAAAUAGAGAUAAAUAAAAAUAAAAAUAAAAAUGAUUUAUAAAAAUUUUGGUGUCUACAGUAUAUUUGGAGUUCCUUUUGAUAUAUUAUAUAAGUGUGGUGUUUUAUAGUUGUUUUUGUUUAUGUAUUAUUGUAGUAUUGUAUAUGAAAAACUUAUUUUUCAAAAAAUAAAGAAUCCAAACAGAGCAUUUUUUCUUUGUUUAGACAUUUCUACAAACACUUGAUAGGGAAAUAAACCAUGAAUUACAAAAGAAAAUUUUUCUUUUUUUUUUCUUUGCUUCACAAGCUCGGGUAAAGGUGAACCCCGAAAUUUUUGAAUAGCAAUAAGAAGGCCCCUAUAGAUCCCAUUAAUUUUAGAUUCAAUCCAGUAAUUUAAAAUUCUGUAAUGAAAUGGGAGCUUAACUAAAGACAGGGGCAAGAGCUAGGUAGCAGGAACAAAGGAAGCGUGAAUGUCAGCAGAAGAAGGCGUGAUCACUGGACCAGAAGGUCAUCGAAGGCGUGAUUCUUUAAUUCAGCUGCUCUAACAGAAAUUCAAAAGCGCGGCAACUCGCAGAUGCAUUGGACACGUGUCUUAUUCUUAUUAGUCUAGCUAAUAAUCUGUUAGGAUUUGUUAACAUUAAAAGCAGGCCUGUCUGCUUUAUUUUGGUUAGCUUUUUGAAAUUAUUCUUUCAGAUUCAUCUGAAUUAGCUUGAGGAGCAAUCCUCAGUUUCCCUCCCAUUUUUCCUUCGAUCUUACCCCUUCUUAGCUAAAUCCAUUAUUUCUGUUCUUGUAAUUUUGAUUUCCAAGAUUCAAUUAAUGAAAGAUCAAGUUCAUUCGUUCACUGUUUCAUUGAUUCAUUGUUAAUUGGUUUCCUUUAUUUGAGCUUGUUUCCUUCUGAUUCCUGCAAACUCUGGCUUCUCUGGUUUCUGUACCAUAACAAAUUCAAAACCAAUCCAGACAAACCAAUGUUGUUUCAAUUGAAGACAAAACAAUGCCAAAUAGCAAUCAAUCUAGAAUCGAUGCUGCUGCGCCCUUGAGAUGUUGAUAUUCUCGUGUCGAUUGGAGAGAUUUUGCCAAAAAAAAAAAAAAAAAAAGCUAAGAUUGAGUAGCCUUUCCAUAAUCUACACUAAAGGUUGAUGCUAAUGGCCUUUAAAUACUUUGCAGAAGUGUUCUCUAUUCUAGCUAUACUAGGAGAGGAACACCGCACUAUGUGCGGUGUGAAGUUACAAGUUUAACAUGCCCAGUAGGAAGUUAAAAGGUUAAUAUGACCAGAGCCCUCAUUGGCUUUAUUUUCCAACUAAAAAUUAUUUUUUAUCAUUUUCUGUAUGUGGUAGCUAAUGAAGCAUUUUGUCAACAUUUCAAUUAAGAAAAGAAAUAAUACUAAUAAAGUUAAGAGCAUAAUCACACAUAAUUGAGAUAAGCUCUCCAACUGUAUGAUGUAUCUCAUUAGCUGUGAAAAGUAAAAUUUAAGAUAUAAGAUACAUUAAUCCAGAAAUAUUGACUGCUAUAUCUAAAAAAUGCCUCUCGUCUUUUCUUAUCUAGCGUCGCGUUCAAUCAGCCAAUUAUAGUGGAACUAUGCAUUAGUGGUCAAAAUUUAAAAAAAAAAAAAUCAUCACACAGUUUGAUAUCUAUACUAUAGCAAGUGGCUGUUGAAGUAAAUAAUGACUUUUGGUAAAGAUAUUGGAAAGGAUAAAACAAAGUAUCAAGCAUUCAUGACAAAAUUCCAUGAGCUUCCAUUAGCUUCCAAGUUCCAGCUAUCUAAAUAUCAAUCAGAUCUGCCAAGAAGGAAUCAUAUUAGAAUUUAAUAACAUUUUGUGUAAAUAGUAGAAUGACAAUCUUGUUAAAUCACAGGUAACGCAUCCGUAGUUUUUGCCACACUUCAUGGCAAAAUUGUAAGGAAAUACUAAAGCAUGAAAUAUAAAACAAAGUCGUCAAGAACACAUUCCCUACUCCUAAGUUUGAGCCACCAAUAUAUUUGAAUAAUACCUCUUGCCAUUCAACUUUUUCUCAAACAUUAAUGUUGGAUAUAUAAAUAAAGAAUAGAAGCCAAUAAACAGCAGAUGCAUUUUGAGCCACCAUCUUAUUUGGAUAAAUACCUCCUGCCAGCCAAUUUUUUCUCAAACAUGAAUGCUAGGUAUAAAUAAAGAACAGAAAAUCAAAAACAACAUAUGCAUUUGAGCCUAUAAAUCAUGUAGUUAUAUUUCAUUCAUGCCACAUUUUCGCCAAGACAACAUGAAUGAACAUAGGACAUCAAUUUAAACUGAAAGAAAAUUUUCUCUUCUUUCUUAAAAAGCUCAAUGACAAAACAAAAAGCUCCAAAAAAUCAAGCAAAAGCUACAGAGAAAUUUCAAUAUAUUAGUUUGGUAUUUGUUAGAGUUUAUUUUUUAAAUCCUAAAACGCAAUUUAUUCUCUAUGUAAUUCUUAGAUUUUAAUUUUCUUUUUUACAUAAAGGUAUUAGAAAAUUCUAGUUGCCUAAUUGAGAAAAGGUGGAGAAGUAAGGAGUAAUCACCACCUAUUGAUCAUUCCCCACUAUACACAAUUUGGCUAGAAAUUUAGGGCGGCAAUAUUUAAACUUACAACUGGGAUGGAGCACAUGAACAUUUUUUUUCUACAUACAAAGAUCUUAUCUUAAGGUUCUUUUAGCCAUUUCAGUUACAUCAUUCCGACUACUCAAACAUGAAAGCAUUAGGAGGGACAGGACAGCGAGUAACAAAAGCUACAAUCAAUCAAUGUACAUCAUUUUCUUAGAAAUUACUACAUCUAAAGAGUUAUUCAAAAAUGACACCAUCAAAGUAGAGAAAAAAUUUAUAAUGAUUUCAUCAGUAAUCAUAACUUUAAAUGAAAUAGGGUGAAAACAAAUGCUAUUAAACCUGGACUAAAGAUCUUAAAGGAAUGGAGCAGCCAAAGAAGACUUGCAACCUCUUAGUGAUGAAUUUACUAAAAUAGGUAAAAUACUAAAGAAACUGACUCUAAAUCAAAAGGAAAUGCAGUAUCUUCACAAAAUUUCAUACUCCACUUUUUCCAAGAAUAGUAAAUAGGGUAAAGUGACCAGAAAAUUAUAGUAAAAUGCUAAGAAAAAAUUGAAGAGAACACUAAAACAUCAAAAACAUACCAUUAAGGCUAAAUGGAAAAAUUAGCCUCCUUUUUGCUUUGUUCCUUCAUCUAACAAAAAUUUAGUAUAAAUAAAUAUCAGAAAAAUCAAAUUUAUUAGGAAAAAUAAAAGGAAAAAUGAAAUCAUAUUAACUUUUCUCUAUGGGAAAAAGACAGAGAGUCGAUACAAUGCUCACCUUGAGAAAAGAAUUCGCAAAUCUUAACAUCUCAAGCUACAACAAACAUUUGAAACUUAUGAGAGAGCAUAAAUAAUUAAUAUGUUAGACCAUCAAAUCUAUCAUAGGAUAUGUGAGACCACAGUAAGGAACAAGAAAAUGACAAUAAAGCAUAAGGAUUAGCAUGAAGUGAAGAAAUUGUGUUUCCCAAUUAAUAACCAAACAUUAAGCACUAAACAUCUAAAAUGCAUUUCCAAAAUUUCACAUCCAGUUCAUACCGAUGCAAUACUUUUUCAAGUUGAAUAUAUUCCUUUUGUAAUAAAAUCCAAAGCAUAACAUGCAAAGGACACAAAGGAAGGGAGAAAGGUGAUUUGUUGCUUUUAGCCAAGAAAAGAUCAGCCAAAAAAGUGCCAGAAAAAAAAAACCAAAGGCAAACCUGAAGUGAACAUUUUGCCAAAAACUGAACUAUUCUUUCCUUCUUCAAGAUAUGCAUUAGUCUUCAUUAGUCUUCAAGAUAUGCAAAUCAUGUCGAUCUAGGUAAUAAGAAAACAAAACAAAAUAUUAACAGAUCGUGAUAUGUUUAGCGAGUUAAGGAGACUUGCCUGUUUUUUUUUUGGAACACCCUUUUAUUUCCUCUUUUUAGAGGCCGAGGGAGAUUUUUUGUGGCUCCCAAAAGAAAAAAAAAAAGAAUUAUACAGAAAAGUUAUGGCAAGCAAAAAAGGAAGAAAUUAUACAUAAAAAAGGGAAAACAAAGGUGAGAAGAUAAAACCUGUGAGUAGUCAGAUGAAAAAAUAGUGAGCGAUCUACAAGAUCACACAAAAAAUUGUGGUCCAAAAAAAGUAACAAUUGAUGGUCAAGGAUGCAAGUAAUAAUGCAUCAGAAAAUGCAUGUCAAGGAUGUACAAAUUAAAGGAUAGAAUAUAGAGAAAAGGGUAAAAGAAAAGCAAAAUUAGAAUAACUAACCAGUGUGUAUGAAGAAGUCCAACACCGCACAACUGAAUAAUAGCUGAAGCUAUCAAAGAAACCACGAUCAUGUAAAAGAUAAUAAGAAAGGUGACAAAAAAACAGGAGAGUAAAAAGAGAAGCUGAUUCGGUGAUAAUAAUUUUGAAGGGACAGAAAAAAAUUAAAAUGGUCGAACCAGUGCUUGAGAAAAACAGAGAAGCAAGCAAGAAAUAAGAAACAAAGCAGUAUGACAGCAAUUCCGAAAUAUUUGAAGAAUUAGAGAAAAACAAAGGAAAGCGAAGCGUAAAACCAACAUGCUCACCAGGAAGCAACAACGGCAACACCAGCGCAAACUAAAACCAAACCAAUAAAUUGGGAAAAAGGAAGGUUCAAAAUAGCUAAAGAAAAAUGAAGAACAAUAGAAUAGGGAAAAGAAAGCAGUAGAUGCAUCGUUACCACUGAUCAUGAUGAUGAUCAGUAGAAAAUCUGGUGUGGAAAGCCAGAGAAACUGCAUAACCAUUGCAUCAUGAUCAGUAGAAAAUCUGGUGUGGAAAGCUAGAGAAACUGCAUAACCAUUGUGCAAAUGCAAUACACAAAACAAUGUCAAUCAACGGGAGCAAAAGAGCUGAUAGUUGACAACGGGAAAAAGUUAUUUUUUUGCAGAUUUACAGACAUAACCCAAGUAAAGGACAAAAAGACUAUAAGAGCUUUUGAGUGGAAGCGUAAAUACAGUCAGAAGGGAUGGGUAAUAUAGUGAACAGCUCAGGUACAAUCAACCGUCAACAAAAAGAGGCUGAUGACAAGAAGUGUGAAGCGGCGGAUGAAGAAAUCGAGAAAGUAUGCAUCAAAACCAAACAAACAAAAUCCGGCUACAAACAAAUGGUCCAUAAAUUAAUUGCAAAGAAUUGUAAUUAAGCAUGUUAAUUUAGAAAAUAGUUAAUUACGAAUCAAUUAAUUAAGACCACCAAAAGCAAAGAAGAAAAGACUAAUGAGAAGCGUUUCUGAAGCUGGAGCAAGGUAGACAUAUUAAUUAAAUAACAAUUAAUUGCAACAAAUUGGUAAUUAAUUGCGAUUUGUUAGGCAACAAAAAAGUAACGUUAUUAAUGAAUUAAUUAACAAUUAAUUGUUAAAAAAGGAAACCAAAUGUGAUUUGAUUGGCAUGCAAAAAAAAGAGGCUAAAUUUUGGCUAAUAACUACACAGAAUUGGUAAUUAAAAGCGAUUUGUUGGGUAAAAAAAAUAUUAAUAAUUAUAAAAACAGGUAAGUAAUGUGAUUUAUCAAGCAAUAAAACUGCGAAAGUAUAACUUAAUUUCGGUGAAAUUAAUUGCAAAAAAUUUAAUUAAACCUGAUUUGUUGGCCAACCCAAAGUAAAGAGGACAUUUUUUAAUAAAUUUAAAAAAAGGUAAUUAAAUGUGAUUUUUUGGACAAGCACACAAAGCUCAUUUUUUGUUAAUAAUUGCAAGAAAGUUAUUAAUUAAACGUGAUUUGUUGGGUAAAAAAACGACACUAUUAAUUAGUUAUUAACAAUUAACUGUAAAAAUUGGUAAGUAAAUGCGAUUUAUUGGGUUAAAAAAUGGAGCCAAAAUAAUAAAUAAAUAAUAACAAUUAAUAGUGGGGAAUCAAUAACAAGCUGCCAUUUUGACGUCCAAUAACAAGCAGUUCCAAUAACUGGCACGUCUUUUUUAUGGCACUUUCAAGCACGAGCACUUCCAAUAACAAGUUAUGUUAGUAUAAUAACUGGCAAUGCCAUUUGGAAGUGCUUGUUAUUGAGCUGCCAUUUUUUUCCAAUAACAAAGCACUUCCAAUCCAAUAAAAAAAAAAAAGAAAAGGAAAAAACCAAAGGCACGUGGGGCCAGAAUUUAGCGGCAGACUUCCAAGCCAGACGUCCAAGCAAAACAAAGAAAAAAAACAAUCGGCUGGACGACCAAUUCACGCGAGCGAAUUCACACGAAGCGACGACCACCAAUCGUCCAAUGGAAGCCUGCCACGUCAGUUAUCAGAACCCAAUUGAAAACCUCCCAUUCCCGCAUAGACUAGAUAUGUUAAUAAACAGGAGAACUGCCCAGUGCCCAUCAUCAAUUAGCGGUAUAUUUCAUCAUAAUACUGAAGUUCGUCUGCUAAAAGCUUUUAUUCUUUUGGGUUGGGCGAUUUAAAAUAAGUCUUACAUAUAGCCUACCAAUGCACUCUAAUCGCAAAUGGGAUUCGAAUACAAUUGCUCCUAAUAAAAAAAAUUUCAUUAAAUCUUGCGUGUAAAAAGUGCAAUGCUUAAUUUUACCGCAUGGAUGAUUCAAAAUAGAGUAAAUUACUUUUACUUCUUGCGAUUUCACGCUCGAUCACAUAACCCCCUAUAAUUUCAAUAUGACCACAUAACCCCCCUAUGGUUUCGUGGAAUGUGAAAAGUAGACGGAAACAUCCCUUCGUCACGUGAAGUGGCAGACACACACACAAAAAGUAUUACGAAAAUAAUGAAUAUACUUGAAAAAUUCCCAUAUUUUGGCCAGAAUUACCCUCAACCCUCACUAUCAUUAGUAUAUAGAGAAUGCAAGCCCUACAAUUUCCAAUUUGCCACCGUUCUUCCAUCUUAUCAAAAUUUUCUUUGUCUAAUACAUCUUCUAACACAUUAAUUGAAGGCCGGUGAAGAACUGGCUUCUGCAAGCACUGGCAAUGGAGGCAACAAGGAUUUAAGGUACCAAUAUCAAAAUGUGAAUGUGGCAAUAAGGCUGUGCUAAAGAUUGUUGAUUCGGAAAAAGCAUGUAGAGCAUUGUUAUAUUUUGUUUGUGAAAGCAAUCAGUAUGGGUUCUUUGGAUUGUAUCAUAAAGGAAAAAAUGCAACAAAGUAGUAGAACCUAUCCCACAAGUAGAGAAAUAGUGAGCAAAGACAGUUCCAUGGACAGUCCAAUUAUUGAGAGGCAAAAAAUGGAAGAUGGUUAUUAUUUGGCACAUAUGCAUGUUUUGGAAGCAAAUCUGAAUAUGUUAAAGAUGUUUAUGAUUACCUCUAUCGUCAUUGCAAUGGUUUCAUUGCUAAUCUCAAUGAAAACAAAAGCAGCCAAAAUUAGUGAAACACUCUCAUCAAAACACAGUCCAAGUUCAUACAUUUGUGGCCAUCUUGGCAUUGUUAGCUCGUAUAUUUGCCAACACAGAUGACACAGUUGGGGUAGGCUUUGGUAUCCUUGAUGUCCUCCUAGACUCCAAAUGUGUUUCACCAAUUUCGUCAGUAGCUUGAAAAGUGGUUUGAUUCACUUCACUUGCAACAGGUUGCAUCACCAAAAAACAUUCAAACAAGUUUCAGGUAAGUGAACUUUUUGGUUUCCAAUGUGAUACAAAUUUCAUCAAGUUAAUACCUGGGAGAUGGACUGAGGCACGUACAUGUUUGUCUCAUAAAUUUGCUUAAGAGGAGGCUGGGAUGGGUCCAGCAUGUGGGGUCUUCUUUUUUCUAUCAAGAUUACUAAUUACAUUAGCAGCAUUUGUAGUUGGUAUGGUAGUUGAAGCUUCAAUUCUCACAUCAAAUCCUUCUUGAACUCUAUGUUCAGCAUUGUUAACUUCUUGUUCAACACCAUUUGAAGGUACAACAGACCCUAUUGGACCCUAAAAUGCACCCAAAUUCAGUAAAUUAAUGUAACACAUAAUGACUGAAAUUAAUAUCAAAAUGAGUGCAUACUCUAUUGAACUUCCUAUUUGGAUGAAUUGGUUGCUUACAGCUCUUAGAAUUAUGUCCGGGCCUCAAACACCUUUUGCAAUGAGCAGUUAACCAUUUUCUUGUAGAUGUGGAUGAGGUUGUGGUUUCAUCAGCUUGCCUUCUCCUCAAAUUUUUAAGCCUCCCAGCUUGCUUUCUCACGAAUGGUGGAAGAAUUUGCUCAGCUUCUGGUGGCCAUCCCAAUAAUGCAUCGAUGUCAUAGGAGAAAUGUGGUAUUUAUACACAGCCAAAUAGGUGUCCUUGCUGUAGCACCUAUCAACAAAAUCUUCAGAAGAUAAUCUGGUUGUUUGAAUAGCUAUAACUCCAUGGGAACAGGGAAUUCCUGUUGACUGGAACAGUCCACAUGUGCUGGAUCUUUUCUUCAAAUCUACCACAAAAACCCUAUCAACACCACAAUCUACUUCAUAUUAGCCUGGAUGGGAAUAUUAAGAAAAAAAAAACCCUAGUUGAGCACCUGUUCUUCUCAAGUCUUUCUUGAAUAUUCGGGCUAAUAGCACCUCCAAGUUGUUCCAUUCUAGCCUUCUUAAUUUGAAUUAUCUUCAUUAGUUUCCUUUAUCUACUCAAACAUGCUGAUAAUGGCAAGUGACCUUGUUGGAAGUAUGUAGUUGAAAGAUUCAUUUAAAUUGUUGACUAAAAUGUCACCUUUACAGUCGUAUGUAAAGUAAGCCCUUGACCAUAAACCAUUCUGCUGCAUUAAGUACAUUUCCUGGUUUCGGAUCAGCCCUCUCCAAUGCAACCAUUGCCCUCUUGAAGUUAUGUAUGUUACCUGUAGAUGCUACUAACCAAAAGUGGUCUCUUAACUCCAUUCCUUUGAACCUCAACUUAAAGUUUUGAUAGAGAUGUCUAACACAAUAGCUAUUGGCAGAAUCUGAAAAAACAUUAUCGCCUUCUUCUUGUCCUUCGUCUUUUGUUAUCUUUGUCUUGUCCCCUACUUCUUCCUUUGAGUUCUAAAAGACUAAUUAUUAAAUGCCACAUCCACUAACUUUUUUUUUUUUUGCCUCUUCCUCCAAACUCCAAACUCCAAAUUUUUUUUUUUUUUGAAGUUGCAAUAUCUAAAUCCUAAAAAAGUGAAUUAAAAUUUAAACUCACAAUGUCUAAUUCUCAUAGACGUGAAUUUUGUAUAAUUUCAUAAUAUUAUGGUAUUUUUGGAUUGGAUUUAAUAUUAUUUUUUUUGGUAGAUAGAAUUGAGAUUGAGAUUAAAUUUAUUUGUUUCAACUUAUAAUUUAAAAAUUUUAUUUGUGAAAAUUCAAGUUCUUUGAAAAUAUUAAACUUUUCAUCAUAUAAAGUUUUAAAUUAGUCCAUUGCAUGUCUUAUUUUGUGCAUAUAUAUUUAUAUAAAUUAUUUUUUUAAAAUUCAUUAAACUAGGGUUGAACCGAUCUAAUCAAUUGAAUCUCGAUCCAAACACCUCGUCGGUUCAAUUAACGGUCCAAGUUUUAAAACAUUGGUCAUCAUCACAUCUUUCAACAUAUAAGGUCAUGUAUUUUAGCCCUUCAUAUAACUUUAGCAGUGUGUCAAUGUCCUUGUCAUUGUUAAUUUUGGCUACCACCACGUCCAAACUAUGAAAAGGAAUUUGAUACCAAAUCUCAAUUUGCUUUGCUUCUUUGUCUACUCUAGAAUACAAGUGACAUAGACAGGCUCUAGUUAACUUCUUUUAAGGUUAUAACCACUUAACUUUUCUAUCCUGUUUCCACUGUAUGAGAUCUCAGGUUCUCAUGUAAACCUUCCACCUAUAUAUAUGCAUGUUACCAGGGGUGGUCGUCAGCAUAUUUUUCAUGUUAUCAAAGCCUAUAGAUGACAAAAUGUCUGCAUAAGUAAUUGUCUUCUUCCAACUUGUCAAAAUAUAUAAAACACAUUCAUGUUUCAAGGACCAGCCAAUAAUACUACAUUAUUACCCCCAAUGAAUUUUUUUUUUUGUCGAUACGAUAGCUUUUUAUACUAUGGGAAGGGAGAGGGCUUGAAGAGGUCCUGGAAUAACCCGAAAAGGACUGAACUACCACUAAAUCAGACGAGUGCACUACACACCCGCUUAAAUUUUUUAAGUAAGAUCACAUUUAAUUAUGACAAAUUGAUGGGAGACAAAGUGAACAAGCCUUAAUGCAUUGGUGUGGUCACCAGUCCAAUGACUGGUGGUUACCCCAGUGGACCACUGAAUUUUUUUUUUUUUCCGAAACAUUAGAAAUUUUAUAUCACAAUCAAGCUAUACACUGUUGGAGCAAGGGCUCCUAUUUUAACAUUAGUGCAAUUAGCACUCUGGGGUGGAGUAAUUCCACUCCAUGUCACAAAAGUUUAGAAGAGCAAUUUUGCUCAAACUAUAGCAUAAGCUAUCAAAGGACCACUGAAUACUAAACAUCAACAUCUGCUUAGGGACCACAGUGUUACCCAAAAAUAAACAACUGAUAUUACUUUAUACCUACUACUUCACCAACUUUUUUUGGCAGAAUUUGUUUAAUUACAUGCAUGUGUACACAACAGUAGAAUACCCGACUAGUGAAAUAACACAAAAUUUGAUAUGCUACCGACAAAUUUUAGACCAUAACAUCAUUCCAUAUCAUAGGGAGUUAAGAAAAUUAUCAUGAAACCUUGGAUCUGCAAUUUAAAAAAAUAUGCUAACACCAGUACGAAAGCUAUUUAGCCAUUCAAAUUUCAAACUUCCAAAUUCAGACCUUGAAAUACCAAAACUCUAAAAUCGCUAAAUCAGAUUAAAAAAGAAAGUAGUAUUACUUACCAAAUCAGUGUUAUGCGAUGUUUUACUACUACAGAAAACCCUUGAUUCGAUAUUAGCUCCAACUUCGAUCUUGCUACGCAGCCCUUUAUUGUUGAUUCUCUUUCGGUUUUUCACUCUCUCUCUCUAAGAAGAAUAGGAGAAAAUUCCUAAGCGUUCAAGGAUGGUUGCUUGAUCUUAUUAUUUGGUAUAUACAUGGGGACAUUUUAGAGAAUUCAUAUUUAGACGUUAUGGAGGAUGUUUCCGUCCACAUUCCACAUUCCAUGUAACCAUAGGCAGGUUAUGUGGUCAUAUUGAAACUAUAGGGAGUUAUGUGGUCGAGCAUGAAACCACGGAAGGGGGGUAGAUAGUAAUUUACCCUUCAAAAUUAAGUUCACAAACUUUCAAAAUGGAUGCUCUUUCAUACGACCACUUUGGACAAGGGCAUCCAAUGCAUCGAUAUUUUCGAUCCAUGUAACUAUAGUUCUGUUGGUCAAGAAAGAACAUUUAAAAUCCUACCCGCAGGAUCUAAAAUCUGCUAAAUGUGAAACUUGAAAGACUCCAAAAUAUGCAUUAUAUUUUGCUGUUAAUAGGUGCGGUGGUGGUUUAAAUCCCCUUGCAGUUCUGUUUUCCGUGAAAUAUUGGGUGCCCUUAGGUUAAGACUAUGAAGCACGAAUAGUGCCACUACUGGAAUCUUCCACUAGAGUAGCACUCUAUAUUUUGUACAAUAACAAAUCUUAGCCCGUGUGAUGUAAAAUUGACUUCGACACCUCAAAGGUGUAGAGUUCCUACUUCCUAAUCUAGGAAUUCUUCAGCUCCUUGUUUGAUCAUCUUGCUUAUUCAGGCAAUAUCUAUCAUACGGGACAGAAAUCUAAUCUUUGUCACAGAAAUGCUCCAGUUUGUGUAAUUAGAUGCAGUGUGUCCUAUAUAAUAGGGAAUCUAGGAAUUUUCUUUUUGAGAGUUUGGAGUCAAUAAGAUCCUGAACCCAUGUAAACGAAGACAUAUUAAUCAUUUCUAUUACAACACAAAAUGGAAUGCUAGAAUUUCAGCCUUUCUUGUUUGCAGAUUCCUGUUGAUAGCAUAAGUGGCUCUUCUGUGUGAAAACCUGUUCUACCUAGGGAUAAAAAUCGAAUCAAACUACUCAAUGUGUAGAUCGAGUUCGAGUGGACAGAAGCUCAUUUGAUCUUGGUUUGUCAACUAAUCAAGACAAGUCUGAAUGGUAUUUUGUAUUCAGUAAACUUUCAAACUCGACUCGAUUAUCAUAAAAGUAGAAUUUACAGGUUGAAAAUUCAAGUUACUUGAAUAAAUAAAAAUUCAUCUGAAUUCGCCUCAAAUAAAUAAGUAAAGCUUGAACAAAACUUUAAAUUUAUUAAAAUGAUCAAUCAAAGUGAAACAAAGUUGAUUAUUAAAAUAAUGAAGCUUGAUCAGCUUGAUUAGAUUCGUUGACGCCCUAGUUCUACCAAAGUAAAUAUCCUUUAGUAAUCUGGUCCACCUGGGAUUUACAGGAUACUAACACCGUAUACAAAAAUUAUCUGAGCUGAAACAUCAAAUCAAAAGGGUACCCAUUAGACAGCAGCGAGCGAGGUUAAAAAUUCCCCAUCACCAAGAUAUUUUCAAAACUACAGGGGCCACUUCUCUAGAAUUUUCACAUGUGACCAACAAAUUCUGUAAGUAACAACUAUUAUAUAUAUUUGGUUGAGACAAACAGUCCGUUAAAAUGCUCUUGAUGACAAGUACUUGAAAAUUACAGCAUUUAGAUUCCUAAAGACGCCACACCAAAGUGAUCAAACCAAGCAACUCUAAAACAUUGAAUUAUUUGGUUGAGAUUUACCUUUUCCCUGCAUCCUCGCAAAGGUUUUGCUUAAUAUUUUGAAACCAAAAGCUAAUGAUAUACUGUCAAUAAAAUGAUACAAAACCAUGGCUGAUCCAAAGAAGGUUUUCUGAAAUAUUGACCACAAUAUAUCACUGGCUCCCAAUACAGCGACUAAUUAAUAAGGGAAACCUCAUCUGAUGACAUCGACUUCGUUUGCAGACAAAAUCAAUCAAUUGUUUGGACCAGGAAGACUAAUCAAUCCUCCAUCCACCGACAAAUCAUGACCAGUGAUGAAUGCAGAGUCCUGAGAAACUAAGAACAGCACUGCUUCUGCAACAUGUCUAACUGUCAAGGCAAUUCCCUUCAAGCUAGUAAGCGGCCCGUAAACCUUCCCAAUAUCCUUUCCUCUUGUUCUUCGCACACAAGUAGAUGUCAACGGCGUUGCAAUGGCAGAAGGGGAAACGCUGUUUACUCUAAUUCCAUGAACUCCAAGUUGCUGACUCCCGCACCUAACUAGUCCAAGAACUGCAUGCUUAGCCAUUAUGUAAUCGGUCCGACUAACUCCUCCCCUGCUGGCUGCCACACUUGUUGUACAAACAAUGUUUCCCUUCACCCCCUGCUCCACCAUUACUCGUGCAGCGUGCUUUACACACAGACAGCCAUACCACGGGCAUUGAUAUCAAACAAACGAUCGAAUUGUGAGAAAUCGAGGUUAAGUACGGUCUGAUCAGAGGGACUUACUAUGCUGGCGUUGCUAAACAUGAUAUCAAGCUGGCCAUAGGUUUGAACCGUCCACUCCACCAAGGCCUUGACUUGAUUUUCAUCACUAACAUCACAAUGGAAAUAGCUGCACUGGUGUGAACCAAUGGAUUCAGUGACGAGUCGGCCCUUGUCAUCUUGUAUAUCGGCAACUACAACAGCCUUCACACCAUUUUCAGCAAAAAGAUGUGCUGUUGCUUCCCCAAUUCCGCUGGCUCCACCGGUUACUAUCGCAACUUUGCCUUCUAGCUUUUUUGUUGCUAAAGUCGAUGCUGGUUCUGUCAUUUCCUUUAAUCAGAAUAGGCCAAAAAUGUGGAUGGUGUUUAUAUGUUCCGCAUGUUUUGGCUCUUACAAGUGAUCCUACUAGGUUUUUAUUGGCCACAAAUAAUGUAUCCAGAUUCAGAUAUCAUAUAAUUUUCUACGGUAAGGCAGGUCCAAACCCCACCAUGUGUCACUUACUAGUUGGUUUGUGUCAAACUCUUGUAACAUGGUUGCAUUUAGAGGGAGAGGGGACAUGAGCAGGUGCUGUUGUGUUUUAAUGUGGUUGGAUCCGAUUAUUUUAUUUUUCAUAAUAAUUGAAAUUCGACUUGUUUCUCCAAAUUUCCAUUCAAAGCAUUUGAAAUUCGACUUGUUUCACAACUUGAACACUGAUUAGGAUUUGAAGUUCGACUUGUUUAUGAAAGCCUUUGAUCAAACAAGGUUGGCCUAUGGACCACAUUUUUUUUUUCUCUUCCCUUCUUAUGUGUCUCUUAUAAAUACUCUCCGUUGAUAGAUUCAAAUUUAGGAGUUACAAGUCCAGAUAUUAAGUAGUCUGAACACAGAUUUUUCAGGUACAGAUUCUACGUACAGUCAAUAAUGGUCAUUAUAUCGUUAAUAGGAUUUUUACAACCACUGCAUACUUUACACAUUUAUGAAAAGAAUUGUAACUGAAAUUUCUUAGACAACUUUUGGUAAUAAUCAUAUUUGUCCGUAUUCAUUUUAUAAAAGGUCAAAUCGACAUUAAUAUGACUGUUACAACCUUUAAAAAUAUUCAUAAUUUUUUAAAUGAAAAUAAUAAUUGAAAAUCUGAUUAAAUUAUUUUGAGGUUUUGGUUUUUUUUUUUUUUGAUAAGGCAUUCUAACACCAUGUGUAUUCUAUGCUUGAAAAUCACCUGUCCGGCCUCCAUUUGAGUCCACAGUCAUCAUGAAUUGAGGUUAACAUCUUGUGUUGUCUUAUUUUUCAUUCUUGGUUGCUUUUUGCCGAUAGUAUGUAAUGACAAUUGUCAGGUUUUCUCGCCGGACGUCAGAGAAUCAGGAGCCUUGGUCUGGGUAGGAUUUUAGGCAGCAAAACAUCAUCCAGUAACCAUGAUAACCAAAACAAUCAAGGAAAGCCUAACAAAGCCAUUGCCAAGAGGGCAAUUGGAGAAAUAAGAAUAUGUCAGGGUAUAAUUUAACCAAGCUACUCGACUCAAAUUCACGAGUAGCUUAGUUCAAGAUUCGAUUUGAAUUUGAUGUUGAUCGAGUUUGAGUGGAAUUCGAGUUACUUGAUAAGGUAUUCGAAUCAAGUACAAAUAGCAAAAAUCAAAGGGUUAUUAUCACUUUAACCCCUUAAUAUUUUGUACCUACAUUACUUUUUAGUUAUUUUACCCCAAGACUAACUGUCAAAUUUAACGAAGUUUGUUAAUCAAAUGAAAAAACAUAUUUAGCUCUUAAAAUUAGUAUUACUUUACCUCAUAAACUAUAACCUUAUUAUCAAUUUAACCCCUAGAGUUAUUUUUUAUACAAUUUAUCCCACCAUUAAACACACAUAGCAAGUUGAAGAAUUUUAGAAGAAAGUACCUUCUUUUUUGUAUAAUAAAAAUAAUAAAACAUUUAGAGUGGCUUUUCUCUUUUUUAGUAUCGAAACAAAAAAGUCAAAGUAUUAAUCUCUUUCUUCUUCGCAAUCUUAUUAAUAUUGAAAAAAUAGAAAGAUGGGGGGGAAGAGAGAGAGACAGAUCAAUUCUUUUUUGAAAAAAUAUAAAUAAGAAAUUGAUAAUAGUGAUAUAGUUUAAGAAAGUAAUAUAUUGAGUUGAAUUACUUAUGGGGGUAAAAUGAUUAAAAGAUAACAUUGGAGAGUAAAUUGAUAGCAGUGAUAUAAUUUAAGAGGGUAAAAUGAUAAUAAACUAAAAUCAAAACUCAAGUACUUAUUAAACCUUAUAAGCUAAAAGUUUAUGAAAUUUACCCCAAAAAAAAAAUCAAACUUCAAGAUUUGAUUGAACUCAAUUGAGUUCGAUUUAUCUUCUGAUUAAAAUAAAUAAAAUACUUAUGUUUGUGUUAAAAAAAAAAUCUUUUGAUUGAGCUUAAUUUGUUUGAAACUCAAGCUCGAGUCUCAAUUUUUAAGAAUUCAACGAGCGACGAGAUGGAGAUCAAGUUAAAGAAAUUUUAUUGAAGCAGAGUUCGAACAGUGUAGCCCUAAAUGUGACGUUGAAGGGUGGCACUAAGAAUUCAAUAACUCUUGGAAUGACGAAUGAUCCCCUUUCCAAGGCUACAUGAGUGCCCCCGUUCCGCAGCUGUUUUCACUUUUCAGCUAGUCCAUCACCUGCUACCGGACAAAGUUGGCACAAUCAGUGCCCCCACUACAUCUCCACCAGAUUGCCAGCUUGACUUGGUCAUUGCAAGUCAUCCCUCCGCCCAUGGCCGGCUCCUAUUGUGGUCUCAUCUCAUUCCUAAGAUCCUUGCCUUUUGACUGUCGCCUUAGUGGGGUACGAAAGCGAUGAUGAACCUCUGUUAAUUAGUUCAGGUUUUAUAAAAAAUAUUUAUAUAUAAUAUAAACGUGUUCUAGUCUACACAAUACCAAGGUUGGACCAUAAGUCCAAUACUAUAUGACCUUAUCGAAUUUUAGAUUGGACAAGGCUCUCAAUAUAUUUGCACAUAGAUGGAGUGCCAAUAGAUUUGUUAACAAGGAUCUAUACGUAUAGAAAAGGGAUGAAUUCACUCUAUUUAAUUAUCCUACCUCCAAAUUUUGAAAAUUACAUUAACCUCUUUUGAGGUUUAUUAUCUUGUAACAUUUAGAUCCAACUAACAAUUAAAAAGUGAUAUUAGGAGAGGGAGAGAGAGAGUAUGAUUCCACCAUUGCUUUUGAUCUACUAAAUUGUUUAAUUAAUGUAAUACCAAGCCAAACAUUAAAGAAAAUAUUAGAAUUUGCUAUUUAUUAUCAGGCAAUGUUUUAAAAGGCGAAAGUGUUGGGCAGGGCAUUUGGUAUCCGUCCCAACGAGGUAAAAGCCCCACAGCGUGAGGCGUAAGCCCCACGAAUUUUUAUUUUUUAAAUAUAUAUAAAUAUGAUAUAUAUAUUAUAAAAGUCAUUUGAAGAUAUAAAUAAAUAUAUUAAAAUUAGAUAAAAUUAAGAAAAUUUAUACAGAAAAUGAAUUAUUAUUGUAUAACUCUAACUAAUAAUUUAAGGAAAAUAUAUAUAUUGAUAUUAGCUGCACAAAAAGUAGAAUAAUUAACAUUACAAAAAGUUCAAUCUUAGAAACAACUAGUCACAACUUAGAAGUCACCACAUUAUCAAGCACUUAAAUCACAAACACAUAAAUUCAAGUAAACACAAAUUUCAAAGGUUAAUUGUUUCAAUAAACACACUUAACUAGUAUGAAAAAUAGAAUACCAAAUUAGCAACCAUAUUGCUUAAUUAUAAUACAUAACAAGGAAUAGCACCAAUAAUUAGAAACAAACUGACAAAUAAAAUGAUACUAUUCAUCAAAAUCAAUAUCAUCCAUGUCAUCAUCUUCAUCUAGUGUACAUACACUAGGUAAUUUUCUUCCAAUAGUUAAUGAUAGUUCCGAAAUUUUCAUCAUAUUAUAGGAUCCAAUCUACAGGUAAUAAUCUCUUUUCCUUUACCUUUCUUGCCUAACCAUAUAUUAUAUUUCAAAUAAAUUCGUCAAAUUCACUCUAUGUCUCAAUAUAAUAGAUAGUAAAUUAGUAAUAAAGUUGAAUAUUAAAAGUUAAAAACUUAAUUGAUGAAGUUAAAUCUUUUUUUCCUUUUUUUAAAGAUAAUUUGUGAGGUGCAUGCUUUUAACGCUCCACUUCAGAGACACACCCAAACACCUGGAUGCAUGCCAUAGAACACUUUCGCCUUUUACGACCACCCAGGGGCAGUAUUGGAACGCUUUACCCUGACACUCACCUUACGAACGCCUUUUAAAACAUUGUUAUGAGGAAUUAAAUCACAUAUGCUAUCAAAUAUAGUAUGUCAUUCUAUAUAUUUCAUUUAAUGUAAGAUUCAAAGUGCUCUUUUUAGUUACAAAUCCAUUGUCAAAUAAGAUCAACAACAAAUAAUUAAAAGAAUCUAUAAUCAAAAUAUUACAAAGAGCAAACUUUAAUACCAUAAAAAUCUCAACAACUAACCUUAAUAUGCUGACAAGAAUAUUUAUGAUAUUAAGUUUGUUCUUUGUAAUAUUUAGUCGCAAAUUUUUUGAUUAUUUAUUGUUGAUCGUGUUUGACAAUGAGUAUGUAGCUAAAAAAAGUAAUUUGGAUCUAAUAUUAAGUGAAAAAUAUAACAUAAUAUACUAUUUUUCGAUGCUAUAUAAGAUUUGAUCCCUAAUAAUAAAUAGCAAAUUUUAGUGUUUUUCCUUAAUGUGUGGAUUGGUAUUGAAUUAAUUAAAUAAUGCCAUAGAAGAGGGGCAAUAAUGGAAUCAUAUUAUCUUCUCUUUCCUAAUUUCACUUUUUAAUUAUUGAUUGAAUCUAAAUGUUACAGGAUAAUUAAUCAAGUGAGGUUAGUGUAAUUUUCGAAAUCUAGAGGAAGGCCAGUGAAAUAAUCAAAGGUUUUUGAAAUUAUCCCUGUAGAGAGAGCAAGAGAAUCACCUUGAUAAUUAAGAGAUCGAGCCCGGAUCUUCUUGCAAGUGAGAAGGUCUUGGAUAGACGGCCAACCUCUUGAAGAGACUGAUGUGCAGGAUCAGGUGAUAAGGAUGCAGCUUCGUGGAUUGAGUAACCGUAAGAACUUGCCCUUGAGAGGGGUACCAAAAUGUGAAUUCUUGGAUGGGCAUUUAUUUAUGGGCUUCCUCAAAAGAGGAAAAUAGAACUUCGCAAAAUUUCGAGGAAUUCAUAUUGCAGCACAUACAUUGGUGUUGAGAAUGUUGCAUUAUUGGCAAAAUGGCUUUGCAGGUGGGCAAUGUGGUGGUGGUAGAUUGCAGGAAUGGUGGUGGCUUGCAGAUAGGUUGCAUGAAAAAGAAAGGGACGUUUUGGUCCUUUUAGUUGACAAACAACAAAUUUUUACUAGUAUUUUCUUUGCAAAAAUUUGAACUUUUAACACUUACUUAAAUAUUUUUACCAACUAUUUAGUUAAAUGAUAUAUAAAAUGCAUCUUAUUAUUAGUAGCAUUAGCAUUAUUAUUGAAUUUUUAAGACUUUAUUUAUUAUGUCAAGAAAAAAUUGUUUAAUGUUAAACUACAUACGCCUUUUGAUUAAUUGUUUGAUUUUAAUUUUAAUUUUUGAUCAACCAAAUUUCAAAUUUAAGUACUUAAAUCUACUACAUAUGAUCUUCUAAAUGUGAAGUUGAAACUAAUAGAAUUUGUAUACAUUCAAAGUUGUCUCUGUAAAUAUAUAAAACCAACAUUUGCAUCUAAUAGUAAUAGGGUUAAUUACCAUAUAUCCACCUAAUAUAUAUCCUAUUUGUCUGUUUACCUCUUAACUUUCUUUUUAUGUCAUUUAACCUCCUCUAGAAGAACUCUACCACUCUAUUAUGUCGAUAUUUUAUUUCUUUUCUCCUUUCUCUUUUCCUUUUUCCUUCAAAUCAGUAAUUUUUAAAUUCUUAUUGUUAAGUAAAUAAAAAAUUGUUCUAUAUAAUAUAUUUCUUUGUUAAAUUUUGUAUUCAAUUCAAAUCUUAAUUGAAUUGAUUUUUUUUUCAUUGUUUUACAUAUCACAUUUCUAUACUAAUUUGUGUUCUUUUAUUUGUCAAAAACCAUCUUGACUAGUUUUAUGUUGUUUGUUCUAUAACUGCAUGGAGAAACUAUACAUACAUAUACAUACAUACAUAUAUAUAUAUAUAGACACACACACACACACACACACACACACAUAUAUAUAUAGUAAAUUACCAAUCAAUUGUAUUUAUUUAGUAUCAUUAUAAUUAGACAAGUUGAAAUAAAAGAUUAAUUUUUUGACAAUCAUGUUAACAAGCUAAUUAUUUGAACAUCUUUUUGGUCUAUUUCCUUUAUUAAAUAUUUUCUUAUAAUAUUACUUUCUUUACUAUUUCUUCAAAAGUAAUCAAAUAUUAAUAUGUUCCUAGUAAAUCUACUUCUAUCUUUUGGUACUUUACCACUACAAAUUAGAGUAAUCAAAAUUUAGCCACAAUUUAAGAUUAAUAAAGAAAAGAAAGAAGAAAAGGAAAACUAAAAAUUUAGCAUAAUAGAGGUGUAGUAUUGUCUCUUAGGGUUUAAAUGAGAAAAAAAAUUAGGGGUAAAUUACAAAUCUAACUAUAACUUAAGGGAAGUUUUUGUGAAAAUAUCAUCUGUCUACUUUCUAUUUGCACUUUGAGAUUUGAUUGCUCUUCAAAGUUUGAUAGUAGAAAAUAUUCAAAUAUUUUUUUUCCCUUAAGACUGUUAGAAUGAUAAGAUAUAAUAAUGAAUAAUGAGUUGUUAUAGAUAACUAUUGCUCAUUUCAAUUUAUUAAUAAAUAUACAAAUUCCUUAACAAAGUUCUAUACAUUUAAGUUAAAAUAAUCUAAUGAUUAAAAAAAGACUUCUUGAUAUAGAAACUUAAUUUGAAACUUUUUAUUUUGGGUGUAAUAAGACAUCGAGAUUGGAUAAUUAAGUGUCAAAAAUAGAAAAGAAUUAUCAUACAAUCCAAAAAUCUAAAUUUCCACUUGCCAAACUACAAUUAUCCACACACACACACACACACAUAUAUACAUGUCACUUCCCCUCCGCCUUAGGAUAAAACCAAAAUCCUGACUCAGGGUUCUACAGCAUGUGUAAAUACAUACAAACUAUACAGGGAGGUGUACAAUGUACAUGUUAGUCGUAGGGAGUAUAAAUUUUUAUAUCUUUGUUUAUCUGUUUAGUCCACAAUUCGGUAUAUAUGCUUGUCUAAGUGCAUUUUCGGGGGCGAGGUGGAAUUACUAGAAUAUAGGAAAGUGAGGCAGCUCUAUGGUUGGUUGCUAAUAACUGACCAAGUUCUUCUCCAUCAACACCCUUUUUUGAGUUGAAUACAUAUAGUAGUUGAAAUGACACUAAAAAGCACCAAUUCCUCAAAGUUAAACGUAACUAUUGGUGCUGCAGCGUUUUCCGUGACCUUUCAACAGACGCGACUGAAACACGGUGCAAGAAAAUUGGAGAGUACUAUUGACCUUUUCUUCCUUUUCUUCUCUUUCUUUUUUCUCUUUUUCAGUUUUGUUUUGUGUGCGAAUUAUAUAUAACCUUUAAGCAGAUGCAUAUUUUGCUCAUCCAAAAUUUGAAACUUGUUUCAGCCAGUCCCGAAAUUUGCCCACUUAGUUGCACUUGUUCCAUUUGCGUUUCUGCAACGUCCUGUGGCUCUUUUAUUCCAAUUGUCCCCAGAUUCUUGCAUCAUCUCCUUAAUCAAAUUCUUGAUCAUAAUCGUAAAAACCUGGUUCUCGUCUCCAAUUUACUCAUCAAUCCACCAUGUAAAGUUUCUAGCGUGUAACAAACUGGAUAACACCAUUCUUUCUAUUCCGUAGCUGCACAUUUAUAAAAAACUUGUUCAGCAUGUAAUUUUGAUCAGCUCCAUAUUCGGCUCUUCCAAAACCAAAAAAAAAAAAAAAAAAAAACGUAGUAUCAGUUUUUUCAUUUAGGUACCUUGUUUCCCUACAGUAUUGUGCUACAGAGCUGGCUGGGCGUGGCUCAGGAGCUCCUGUAGCCAAACCUGUAUAAAAAUCAACAAAUCACGUAAUAUCGUUCUCUCAAGUUUCUUAAUCUAGGAUCUAAUCAAUCUCCCAAAAAAAAAAAACUUAUACUUGAAGUUUUGAAGAAGAAAAUGGCACAAUCAGCGCCCGGAAGUCCGCGAGGGACGGCGUCUACAACGCCAGGGAGUACUCCAACACCGCUGUUUACCGCAGUGCGAAUUGAUUCAAUGGCUGAUGAUCGGAAGCCAAUGCCUGCGUGCAAGUGCUUCCCAGUAUUGGCUGGACCUCAAUCGUGUAUCACCAACUUCCCCGCGCCAGAUAUCUCGCUCCCCCGCAAGGUAUGACUUCUGCCUUUUCUUGUUUUCUAUCCUUCUUCCUCUCCUUGUAGGUGCCAUGCAUGCGCUGUACAAUAUUCUCAUUCCAUCCUAACAAGUUCAGCAGAGAUUACAUUCUCAUCUAGCAGUUUUAUAUAAAUCCACAUAUUAGUUCGUGGAGAGCAUACAGAAGUAAUUGAGGAAGAUCAUCAUUGUUCUUGGUUGAUUUUGCAACGAUUCUUUUCUUUCUUGGUUUUACUUUUCAAAUGUAUACAACUAAUGCGCAGUAGUAGGAUCAAUAUUUAAUAAGUUACGGUUGUUAACAUUGCAAUUAACUCACAAAAUUGAGGCAUAAAAACUAAGGAGAUGUUUGAUAACCCAAUUCAAUACUUAAUAGAUUUAGAUCUUAAUAUGUUUAGACGCGUUUGAUAACUAAAAAUUGAAUAUUUAAAUUAAUUAAGUAGUAUUAAAUUUUUUAGGCAAAACUUGUUCUAAAAAAAUAAGUGACAAGUUAUUCAUUUAUUAUUACUUAAUAUAAUAUACAUUCAAAUAUAUCAGAUUUAAUAUUUAAUAAUUCAAUAAUUUAAUGGAUUCAAAAUUCAAAUUUUAGUUUUCAAAUUUCAAUCUUAUCAAACACACUCUAAAUUCAUGAUUAAAAUCCCAACAUCUAAUGUCUUAACCUUGGUUAUUUAACCACGAUUAGUUGAAGACGUCAUUGAUAACUGUGUAAAAGUCAUGUAUUACUGAAUUUAAACUUGAUACUGGUGGCUAUGAGAGGACUGUUAAAAUUACCCAAUCCUAAACUUGACUGUUGGAGGUUGGAAGGAUGUAAGAAAAAUAAAUAAAUGUCAAUAUGCUGGUCUUAAAAUUUACCUUCAAGGAUAAUGUAGUAAAAAAAAUGUGGUUUAUUAUCCGUGUACACUUUGUAAAUGGAAAGCUCAAAGUGUUUGAAUCAAUCAACUCCUUUAGCUACAACAAGUGGGAAGAACAGGACGAGAUCCAUUUGUUGACUUGCAGUUUAUAUCACUUCCAAUCUCAGUAAUGAUUAAUGGAUACAAGAGUAUAACUUAACCUUGAAUUGGAACUUUUGCAACUGGCGAAAUAUGAAUACAGGUGGGAGCAGAAUUCUUGGGGACUUUCAUCCUUAUAUUUGGAGCCACAGCUGGACCCAUUGUAAACCAAAAGUACGACGGAGCAGAAACGCUAAUAGGGAACGCAGCUUGUGCGGGGCUAGCAGUUUUGAUAGUGAUCUUGGCAACUGGGCAUAUCUCGGGAGCUCAUCUGAAUCCCUCCGUAACUAUUGCAUUCGCGGCACUUCGCCACUUCCCAUGGGCUCAGGUGCCUGCCUACAUAGCAGCUCAGGUUUCAGGAUCGAUCUGUGCUUCUUUUGCUCUCAAAGCUGUUUUUAACCCCUUUAUGUCAGGUGGUGUCACGGUUCCGUCCGUAGGCAACGCCCAAGCCUUCGCCCUUGAGUUUAUUGUAACCUUCAUUCUCCUAUUUGUUGUUACAGCGGUCGCCACAGACACUCGCGCAGUAAGCACAUCAUCCUUGCUCCUCAGACUUAAUCUGUUCAACUGCGAACCUAUAUAGCCUUCGUAGGUUAGCUAUGAAUUUUGGCCUCUACAUAGUUUAUUUUUAACAUGUGCUCAUACUGUCGCUACACAUGUAAAUAGGUUGGAGAACUGGCAGGAAUAGCAGUCGGAGCUACAGUCAUGCUCAACAUUCUUGUUGCCGGGUGAGUUUUGGCUAGGGGUUUAUUUGAUAACUACUCUACUUAAUGGUGAAAAUUAAUUCAUUGAGAACUUUUUGAAUUCAACGUGUUUGAUUGCAGAAAUCUCCUAUCGCCUAUAGUAUAUUAAGCAUUGUUUAACUAGUGUACAAACUUUCAAGUGAAAAAAUUUUACUGAAUUUUUCGAAUUGACUAUACAUGCUAUAACUCUCACACAUAUAACACAUUCUUGUACAAUCUCUCGUACAAAGUACACCUCUUUUUGUUCACACACUUAUACACAUUGCAAUAUACACUAUCACACAACCACUAGGCCAUUGGCUUAGUGGCCACCACCAAAAUGCCACAUUUAAGUGGCUUGUUUCCAAAAAAAAUCCAGACGGGUGUGCUGUGCACCCGUCUGAUCUGGUGGUGGUUCAGUCCCUUUCGAGUUAUCCCUAGGUCUUCUUAGGUCCGCCCCCUUCCCCUUAGUGUAGGAUAGAUUAGGUUUAUCGUCUCCGGAAAAAAAUAUAUAUACACUAUCACACAGAAUUAUGCACGCUUAAACACCACCUCUAACUUUUUUUUUAUCACACACACAAGCACACACAAUUUUUCUCUCUCUAAAUACACAAAUAAAGGUAAUUUUUUAAAGAUAACAACAUAAUAUUUCUGCGAUAUUUCAAUUCAGCAUUAUAAUUCUGUUAAUUAUUAAAUAGAUAUAAUCUAAUCAAUUGAGCAACUUAAUACUGAAAAGCACUUCAUUUUUUAGAUUUUAAAAAUCAGAUUUCAGACUUCAAUUUUAUAAAAAAGGGGCCUAAGUAGGCCAAUGAAUUAGUGCUUGUUACAAAGUAAAUAAAGAAUGGAAUGGGUUCGCUUCAUAUGCACCCACGAGUGGUUAAUAAAGGCUGUAAGAAUUUUGCUACCAGAGCAAUUUUGUCUACGAUGACCGAAUCACCUUUAUAGAUCAUUUUAAAAUUCAAACUUCCAGUCCAAUCUGGAAGGAUAACUACUGAGUACUAACUUCUAACUAUUUGACAUUUUAGUAUUGGUUUAUUGCAUUACGUAAUUGGUUGGAGUUUGGACAGCAAAAGUGGCAAGAUGCAAUAUUGACUUUUUUUUUUUGUUUAUUUAAUGUGAUGCUGAGUUGAUGAUUGAUGUGCUGAUUUUUUUUUCAAUUGAAUUUUGUUGGAAAAAACAUAUGGAAUAUUAUUUUGGAGCAAUUUUUUUUUUAGAGAAAAUUGAAAUAUGUUAACUUACUAUUGGCAUUUUGGAUUUCGGAUAUUACCAAAUUACUGGUUCUCCGGCCAAAAUCCAAUUACCGGUAUCCAAUUUACCAAACUAAAGUUUGGAUGCGAAUCGAAUAUUGGUGUUGACAAACCAAUUACCGAAUUCCCAAAAUUUUUUUACCAAAUUUUCGACCACCACCCAAUAAACACCCCUAUCUGAUCCAUUCCUCUUUAUGGGCAAACUAAUUCAUCGUCUCCAUUUUAAGAAGUCUACAAUAGUGCACUUAGGAGCAAUUUGAAUGCUUCUGCUAAUGGGAGGAUAUGCUACGAUUGGAAACAGAAGCACCUUCAUGAUAGUAACUAAAUUCAGUGAAUUUUACCCCAAAAAAAAAUUAAAUUUAGAGAAAAAGACAAGAAACUCAUGUGCUUGCAAUAAUAAUAGGGAAAAUAGGAAUAUAAUAGAUGCUGUAGUUUUUUGAAAGUUACACACCAUUUUUAACCACUAAUUUUCUCAAGCCUAUUAUUAUCCUAUCUUCUAAUCCCUAUAUUUUAAAUAUUUUUCACCCUUGAUCCUAGCCCCUUUUGCGACUAUUUAAAAUCCAAAGCAAUAAAAGCAACAUUUGAAAGAAUUUUAUGUAUGUCUAUUAACUCAGAAUUACAUUGUUAUGCUACUGGAAUCCUACUAACAUACUUACAAAACAAGCACUGACAACAUUGCCGUGGCUGUCGGCAGGCCAGCCAGCGGCGGUUCAAUGAAUCCUGUCCGAACUCUGGGACCAGCCGUCGCUGCUGGAAACUACACGUCAGUUUGGGUAUACUUGGUGGCUCCUACACUCGGGCCCUGGCGGGAGCGGGGGCAUAUACCAUGGUCAAGCUUCAAGGAGAAGGGCGUAAUGCGGCUGAAGCUCGACAGCAGUCCCGGAGUUUCCGUCGGCCAAGCUAGGCCUACUGAAGUUCAAAUCUACCUAUCUAUCUAUUACUAUCUAUCUGCAUGGCAAGUACGUUCGGAUUACAGGAGGACUGCUUCGUAAGCCCAAAAAAAAAAAAAAGCAGCAGCAACAACAAUUUUUAGUAAAAAAAAAAAAAAAAAAAAACAAUUUUUAGUAAAUUAAGUAGUUCGGUUGGAAAGCUUAAAACUCAUUACUUCUUAUAUACUUCCAAUUUAACGAAGAAAUCGAAGGUCUAGAAGAGGAAACUAAACAUUGUACUUCCCCUGACAUAAUAUUGUGCUGUGCUUAUUAAGGUUUAUGCAAGAUCAUCAGUACUAAAUCAAGUGUGUCAUACUUCAGUGUAUCCACUACUCCCUUAUUUUUUCAGUCACUUAAUCUUGUAAAGCUCAAACAGCGGAAUUAUCUAUGGAGGGUUUCGGUUUAAAUAUGUUUAUCACGGCUUGUUAUGUAUUGGAGCUCCUACAAGCGUAGUUUUGAUUGUAUGGUGCAGUUAAUAUUCGGGAUGAGUUUAAUUUCGAAUUGCGGGGAUGAAAUUAACUGUAGGACACAAUUUUCAAGAAGUGAAAAAAAAAUUAUUAUAGUUUUUUUGCACAUUAUUGUUGUAGUAUAUACAUUUAUUGUUUUAGUAGUGUCUAAACAUGUUGUAUCAGUGUUUACACUGCACCAUAUAAUUGGAACUGUAAUUAUAUUAGCCCUGCAUCUGCUUUGAUUCGGCUUGUGUUGGUAGUGUAAUAUAAGAACUCAAAAGUAUAUUAGAUUUGAAAUGUUAAAUUUUCUUACUUCUUUUAUACUUAACAUGAAGUACUUGACCUGUGCAAAGCACAGCUUGGACCCCUAGAAAUUUAGUCGAACACAUAACAUCAAAUUAUUUUGGCACAUGAUGAAUGAAUAGAAAUAUAGGAGAAAAAUUGAGCAUCAAAAUAAUUAAAAUUGACAAAUGUUAUUUGAACUCUCAAUUUUUUUUAAUCACACCUUCGCUAUUAUUUUUAUCAUAUAGUUUUUAUUUAUUGUAGGAAUACAAUUAACAAAAUAUGAAGUAUAAAUAAAAUUUCCCUCAAAAUUUGUUGUGAAGAGAAAUUCCAUCUAUGAAGUCAACCCCCCUAUUUAUUGUGAUUUGAAUAAAGAUUUUUGAACCACUAUUAUGAUGAUACCCAAAAACGGGAGAGAAUUAAUACACUAUAAGUGCAUUGUUAUAUUAAUAGCAGCAUAGUUUUAGUUGUAACUAAAUCAAAAGUAGUUAUAACACUUCCAGUACUUUAAUAAUGAGAAAAAGUUUAGAAAGCCACUAAGACAUGGCACAAUCUUCAACAUCAAUAUAGUUUACUAUAAACUUUCACAUUUUUCUUGCUUUUGAUUGAAGAAGUUAGUUCAUCUAUAUAAAUCCCGCCUAAUGAUGAUAACAUUAUCCUGCAGCUCCAAAAUAUAAAUAGCAAGGUUAGAUAAAAAUAUGAAUUGCUACAUUUUCAAAUCUACAUUUACAAAUUAGAAUUGAACCAUUUUUUUUAUUGCAAAAACAUCUUCCUAAUCAAAAUUAAAUUUUCUAACAUUUUUUUGUCAAGUCAUACUCUAGGCUGAAAUCCUCAAUUGUGACUUCUAUCACCAACUACAAUCCUUGUAUGCCAACCCAAUUGAUACUACAACACUUGACUAAUUAAAAAACAAGCAAAAAUUAACAUUAGUUUAAAUAUAUACAAAAUCUUAUUGGAUCCUUCAAUUAAAUUGAAUAGACCAUAAAGUAAUUGCAAAACGGGGGCAGGGGAAAGAAAGAAACAGAGAAAAAUAGAGGUAGAGGAAUGCCUAACUAGAUUUAUCUUGGUGGAAAUAUCACAUAAUAUGUCUUUUCUCCUUAAAAAAAUACACAAAAUUGUAGAUAAUUACAAGAUGUAACCAAAAAACAAAGAAAAGGAAAAAAGAUGUGAAGUAAGAACUCAAAUCCUAGGAGGAGAAAAGAAAAGAAUGAAUUUUUGUUUUAUUCUUCAUAGAAGAUGAUCACUAGUAUAAAAUGAAUUUUAAGAUCUUUUUACCUAUUUUAAUAUUUCACCUUUAUCCAUGAAGAAAUACCAAAUAAAAACAUCAUCCUAUAAAUUUAACAAACAAAUGCCAAUUGGCUAUAACAUUAUGAUUGAAGAAUAGAGCAACAUGAGAGAUUAGAGAUGAAGAAAAAUGGAAGAAAAGAAAAUGUAAAAUGGGAUCAAAAAAAUAAUAAAGACUUCUCAUUUCUAAGUAGCUAAUCAUCUCGACCAAUAAAAAGAACAUGACAACAAUCAUAGUUAGAUUAGUUUUAAAAAAUAAAAAAUUAAAAAGGUGAGGGAUGACAGCAAUUGCCACAAGGAGGGAAGGAAAAAUUUUGCUAAAAUGACCAAGAUUCCAAUUGUCAAAAAUAUAUGCAAUACAUGUGUCAAAAAGAUGAGCAGCCGCAGUAACUUGGCCUUUUCUUAUAUAAAGGUAUAUAUUCUCCAAUUUGACAAGGAAACUAAUUUUAGAGAAGGGAAAAUACAAAUCAUAGUCUCCUAAACUAGGAUAGGUAUAAGAAUUCAUUAGUGCAGAACCAAGUGCAAUGAUCGUAUGUGGGCUAAUAACCCUUUCAUUUAUGCUGCAAACAUAACCAGAACGUGUAUGUGAAGAGUGGACUUUAGCAGCAUGAGACUCUAAAAGGACACUUAACAGAGACAAUGAUGGCCUUAAAGGAUAAGAGGUUUUGGCCUAUCUUUGAUUUCUUCUUUGCACGUUGGACCAAACACCUUGUCACAAUCACUAGACGAAGGACUUGGCAAAUUACGACUGCUUUCAGUGCCGUGCGCGUCAGUUGUGUUUCCAAUUUGACUAUAGGUGUCCAAUUUCAAUUGAUGUGAAGAAGCACGGCACCUAGAGCUAAGAUUCCAAUUGUGACCGGAAAUGGUUUAUUAAUUAUUAUUGAUAGAUAUGGCCCAUUGUAAUGUAAGAAUGUGUGGACGUUAUUAAUUUAGCAGAUGAAACAUCUGAAUCACUCGCUACACAAAACAUUUUUCUUUUCUAACAAAAUUUCAAUUCACUCAAAAUAUCCAAAUUGAAGGUGUUAUUUACAUUAACAUGAAAGUGAGAAGCAUAUAAUGAAUGACACCACAAGGGAAUUUAGGAUUAUCUGAUUUUUAUUCAUUGUUUAGAGCAAUAUACUGUGAACGUGAAUUUUUAUGUGACCUGACCUCAGAGAAUAAAACAGCACAAUUUUCAGAAAAAGAGACGUAAUUGUUCAAGAUAAAUAGAUAAUCUCAUAGGCACAUAAUUGUUUGGCCUUUUUUUUUGGGGGGGGGGGACAUGGUUAAUUCUAUUUUGUACCCUUGAGUUGUACCCUAAUUCUCACUUGAUCCCUGAGCUAAAAUAUAGAUAUUUCACUUCCUAGAUCUUAAUAUCGUUCCACUUUAAUCCAAUACUUAACAGAAUAUUCUAAACUAUUUUGUUAGUUUGUGUACAUCUUGUUGACAAUUGAAUUAAAAUGAAAAGAAUUUAAGAGGUUGAGGAAUAAAGUGUUUCAAACUACAGUUUAAGGAUCAAAGUAAGAAUCGAGAUAUAAUUCAAAGGUGCAAAAUAAAAUUAACCCCAAAAAAACAAGAAGAACGACUUUUUAAUUGAACAACUUAUAAUACAACUUGAAACAUUUUGGGUAGAGCUGUAGGCUUUCAGAAAGUUAAGAUAGAACCUUAAAUUGUUCCUGUGAGAGAUGACUAUCCAUCAUCAUCUUGAGCCACCAUCGACGAGUAGGUCCUGGCCAGUGAUACAUGAAGAAUCAUCGGAGGCAAGGAAUAAA
rnacentral:lncRNA from 1 species